UAACUACGGUUCGUUUGGUAUAAUGUAUUAGGAAAAAUAAUAUAUUUACUAGUUUUGUUAUUAUUAAUUCAUGCUUUAUAAAACACUGGAGUUGAAAUAUAUAUUUUUAACGAGUGCAAUAUAGUAGUGAAAGUAACAGCAAUAAUCUCAACGUCUUUCUUUUCCAUCUCCUUAACUCUUUCCAGUGCCAUUUCUGGCGAUCCAUUUUCACAAUACGACCUAAUUAAUAUACCAUAUGAGACUUUAUCAGGUAAAAAUCCAUAGUUUACAGGAAUUUCAUCAAACAGCUGGGGGACACGAUCAUACUGUUUCGAGUGCAAACAAGCUAAUAAAAGCACAUUGAUGGAAAUUGCUGAUCUUGAUCUGGGGUUCCUAAAUCAUCCAUCUCAUGAUAAAUAUUAAGCGCGUGAUCGAACAUUCCGGCGACUCCAUACGAACGAAUUAUGGAUGAAAGAUAAGGCUCUUGAGUAAUUUGUGAGCUAUUCUUGUGAGAUUCGAGGAAACUUUCAAUGUCGGAGAAACGGUGGGAUUUAGCGAGGCGCUUGACUGUGUAUUCCUGAGCAUAACGGGAGCCGGGAGGGCAAAGGGGAAAUGUAACAGUCGGAAACGGAGGAGUAAAUCUCUAGGGCUUUGUCAGGAUCGUGCUCGGCUGUGAGCUUUGAUUUUGCUUCGGAGAUAGAGAUGGUGGAAGUUGACCAAGCAGCGGCGGCCGCUGCGGCGGUUGAGAGGUGGCGCGCGUGACGCAAGGCAACGGAAGAAGCUGCUCCAGGGUGAAAAUGGAGUAGGGUUUAAGUAGGCGGUCUGAGGGCUCAUUUGGUAUUAAGGAUAAAGAUAAUUAAUUCGGGACUAAAUUUUAAAAAAUUUACCAUAUUUUGUUGCGAGAAAAUUAUGGUAUAAUUAAUUUCGUAUUAAUUAUACUAAAAUUAUAAUAUUUUUUAUCUUCGUAAAAAUAUAAAAUAAUUAACUUUAAAAUAAUUAAUUUCGGAAUAAUUAAUUUCGAUUCCAACCAGACUAUUUCUAAGGGUUUGACUCUAUUAAAAUAAGAUGUAGUUACCAAAUAUAUUGAAAGUGCUAAUAUAUAUGAAGGAUAUGCGUUAUGUUAUGAUUUGGUAAGACAUAAAUUAAGUGGUAGGCAUACGUCAUAAAUUCAAAUUCUAUUAAAAUAAAUUUUAAUUACCAAAUAUAUAAAAAUACUAAUAUAUUUGAAGCACAUGCGGUAUGUUAUGAAGUAUAAUUUAGUAUAAAUACCAAAUACGGAUAAAAUUUUACCUUUGGGAGCUUAUCAAUAACAAUUUUUAAAAGAAAAGAACAAAUUGUAUUUUUGCAUUAUUAAUAAAAGUACAACAAAGGAAAAUAAAAGUUUGACACUUGUGUAGUUGUGCAUGAUAUUUCGUCCUAUUGCUACGUGUCAACUUUUCCGGUGAGCACCGCAAAUUUGUUCUCACUCUUUAGUUUCUUCAGCAGCAGAAGCAAUUAUAUAUAUCUUCUUUUAACAUGCAAUAAUAUUGUGUAAUUAAAGGGAAAGAGAAAAACCAAAUUAAAGUUGGGGAAAAUGGCACUGUUUGAUUAUGUGAUGGAUAUUGGGAAUAGCAGCCAUGAGCAAGUUGUUCCAAUGACAGUUUUUGUGGCGAUUUUGUGUCUAUGUUUAGUGAUUGGUCAUUUACUUGAAGAAAAUCGUUGGGUUAAUGAGUCCAUCACCGCCAUUAUCAUUGUACAUUCUUCUUCCUCUUCCUUCAUUUUAUAUUAUAUUAUAUUGUUGGACAUAUAAUUUGGAUACAGUGUUUAAGAUGUUAAUUUGAUUUAUAUUCGAGUGGUAGUUUGAAAUUGUACUUUGAACGGAGAACAUCUCACAUUUAAGAUUUGAAUAGUUAAAUAAAUUUGGCUGAAGGGAGUGGUGUCGUGGAGCAACAGUAAAAUUAUCUUCGUGUGACCUACAAAUCACGCCGUGGAAUCAACCACCAACACAGUAGGUUGUCUGCAUCACACUCCUGGUGCGGCUCUUUUUCCGACCCUGAGUGAAUAUCACACUCCUGGUGCGGCGACUCUUUUUCAGACCCUGUGUGAACGUGGAUGCUUUAUCUGCGGGUUGUCACGUCCUAUUACCCUUUCUGUUCUAAUUUAUGUAUCUAUUUCUUUUUUAGUCAGUUCCAAAAAGUUUCUAAAUUCGGAUACAAAGUUUAAGAUUAUAUUCGAGUGGUAGUUUGAAAUUUUACUUUGAACGGAGAACAUCUCACAUUUAAGAUUUGAAUAGUCAAAUAACUUUGGCUCAAGGUGAGCCGUCAAGCAAUGGUAAAAUUAUCUCUGACCUAUAAGUCACGAGUUCGAGCUGUGGAAACAACCACUGCAUCUUAUAAUUAUCUACAUCACACCCCUUUGGGUGCGGCCUUCCCAGCCGCUACGUGAAUGCCCGAUGUUUUGUGCAUCGGGCUGUCCUGCCUCAUUACUCUUUCCGUUUCAAUUUGUGUGAUCUAUUUCCUUUUUAGUCAGUUCGAACAAGUUUCUAAAUUUGGAUAUAAUGUAACUUAAAGUUCUCAUUUUUAAUGACACGCUUAAUAUUAUGGUCAUGUACUCAUGUUUAAGAUAGCAAGUUUCAAAAGUUUGUCUUUCUUUCUUAAACUCUAUGUUUAGUUUAGCAGUUCAAUGGAGUGAAUGAUACUCUAGUGAAUGGCACUCCAUGGAGACUAUGGGAGUGAGUCUUAGGUGAUUUCUUCCCCUUUGCCUAAUUUUUGAUUGACAAUAUUACGCGAUUCCUUUGCUGGUGGGAGAUAGUAUAGGAUGUAGCCCGUGGAAUAGUUGAGGUUCUGUGCAGUUUGCAUUAAAUUUUGCAUUUUUAUUUCAUUAUUUAUUUGAUGAUCUUCAGUUUUGGUUGUAUUUUAUGUUAGGUUGGUUCGCCUAGCGGGUUGGGUUAUGUGUCAUCUCGACCCGGUGGUAUUUGCAUCUUUAAAAAGAAUAUUUGAGUUUAGCAAUAAUGUUAGUGAACUAGUGUUAUUGGCAUGGAGAGAAUACUCCUUAGUCAUAUUCAACUAGGUGUCAAUACCAAAUGGUGGUUCAUUUACAUCAUUUUGGUAGAGUAGAGGUGGUACUCAUUCUCCUCUUAUAGCAGCUAAGCCAACAAAAAUAGCAUGAAAAUUUUGAGGCAAACAGAAUCAUACAUAGUAAAAAACUGCAACACUUCUUUUUGUAGUAUCUCAGAGUUAUUUUAUAUUUGAUAUAACAAUCUUCUCCUCUGGUGCAUAGGGUUGCAUAUCAGGGACAAUAAUACUUUUCAUAAGCAAAGGAAAAAAUUCUCACAUACUUAGAUUUAAUGAAGAGGUGUUCUUCAUUUAUCUACUUCCACCAAUAAUAUUUAAUGCAGGGUAAGAAGCUUUUGUUAAAUUAUAUUUCCAUAAAUCUCAAGCAUUUUACGUUUUAAAAUAUGUUGUCUGUUCAUAUCUUAUCCAGAUUCCAGGUGAAGAAGAAGCAGUUUUUCCACAACUUCUUAACUAUUAUGUCGUUCGGAGUCAUUGGGGUUUUCAUAUCAUCAAGUAUUAUCACAGCUGGUAAUCUGUCAUUCCUAGGCUACUGAUUUUGUCAUUUAUCUAAUUUUUUCUUAUAAAGGCGGUGUAUGGGCUAGCUUGUCCUGUCCUGGGGCGGAGCUAGCACUCGAAAUAUGAGCUCGGCCGAACUCAGUAGCUUUGGUCCAACCCUUGUAGUUGUUCUAAAAAUUCCAUUAUAAAUGUACAAAUUAUUAAUUUAUAAUCCAAUAACUUAAACGGAAUAGAAUUCUGAAUCCAUAAAAUUCAAAUUCUGACUCCGCUUUUGAGCUUGUCCACACCUCAACUUCCACCGGGUGCCUGUAACUUCUCACCAGCACAGGUACUGGGUAAUUCUGCCCCCCAAGACUUAGACAACUGGAAAGAAAUAAUCUAGUGUUUUUGUUUCCUGUGUUUUUGUCCAUUGGGAUUUGAGUCUGAGACGUCAUAGUUCUCCAUCAAUUCAUUGACCACUAGGCUAUACCCUUAGAUGCUAAAAAUAAUAUCACAAUUUCUUGUUUGUCAUUUAUCUAGUUCUUUAAUUUACUUUCAUCUUCUAUUGGUAUAGGUAGCUGGUGGCUGUUUCCCAAGUUAAAUUUCGACGGAUUGAGUGUUCGCGACUACCUUGGUUUGGUCCUUUUUCUAGUUGAAUUUCCACGUUUCCUUUUCAUUAUUGAUAUCAGCUAUUUAACUGAGAUAUUAACAUGUAUAACUGGUAUGGUAAAGGUAUUGGAGCAAUAUUUUCGUCGACGGAUACUGUUUGUACGUUGCAGGUCAGUAAUAAUGGCAUUUGAGGCCAUUUGUCCUGUUUCAUUGAAGUCAGCUAAUUAUAUCUGUGUUGCUGCAAAAUUCAUGUGUAGGUUCUUCAUCAAGACGAGACUCCGUUACUAUACAGCCUUGUCUUUGGGGAAGGAGUAGUAAAUGAUGCUACAUCAGUUGUUCUCUUUAAUGCAGUGCAAAAGCUUGAUGUUGAUAGAUUCAACGGCUGGUCGGCUGUCCAUAUCUUUCUAGAUUUUCUGUACCUCUUCUCCACAAGCACUGCUCUUGGAGUUGCUGUCAGUUUUAAACUCUUUUAAUCCCGUACUAAGUGGUAGAAAAAGGGACUAACUAUUGCCUAUUGAAUACGGAUUUAGUACUCGAAACAUACUCUUGUCCUUUCUGUCUAUUGAUGAGAGGAAAGCCAUACCUUUCCAUGGCAAGACUUGGAAAAAAUGAAAAGACUGUUUACGUUGCGUUUAAAAUACAGGAUGGUGUAAUUGAUGAAUUAUUGUCGUCUAAGCAAAUAUACUACAAAUUCACUAUUAAGAUACCCAUUUCAUCACGCAUAAGAUUGAGCUCAGUUUCAAGAUUAACAAACUUUUUGUGUUUCUCUGGGGAUAAUGAAAAUCAAAUACUAUAUUAUUUUGGUUGAUGAUUGAUGUCUUUCACAUGUUAUUUUUACUCUUGAGUAAUGAAUCCUUUAGUAAGUUUAUCCACUCAAAUGCAUAGUUCUUUAUCUGAAAAUGUGUCUCGCUCCUUGGAACACGAGCCUUACCGAGUAUGUCCAAUUCUUCUUGCAGGCUGGACUUCUAACAUCGUACAUUCUGAAGGGCUUAUACUUUGGGAGGUAAAAUUUGCGUUUGGUGUUUCGGUAUGCAUACAUUGGAAUCUACGUCAUCUUAUAAAUUCUACAUGAAAAUGAGCACUAGUGGUUAUGCAAAAUCUGGACUUAGCUGUUUAUAUCUUUGCAGGCAUUCUUCCGUUCGUGAAAUAGCUCUCAUGCUUCUGAUGGCAUAUUUGUCCUACAUGUUGGCUGAGGUAUAGCAAUUUCUUGUACUCCAUUUUUCAGCCCCCCACCCCACCCCACCCCACCCCACCCCACAACCCCCCCUUUUUUUUGCGAUCAUCUAGAUACUCUACUGAUAAAUUGAUUUCGAUAAGCUUGUUUGCUAGUAAGGUAUGAUCUUAGUCAUGGUAUCUUUUCAAUCUUUGCGAGCUAAGCAGAACUUCUAGGAGCCGCUGAUCUGUCCUUUGCAUGUUUAUUUUCAUAUUUUCAGUUCCCAUACAAAAUUCACAUUUUAUAAGUUUUCUCAUAGUAGUUACAAAGUGAUUAUGUUGUUUAAAGCUUUGCAGCCUCAGUGGAAUUUUGACCGUCUUCUUUUCCGGAAUUUUGAUGUCUCACUAUGCAUGGCAUAAUGUGACUGAUAGUUCAAGAAUCACUACGAGGUAUGCAUGAAAAGGUGUCAUAUAUAUAUUUUUUACAGUAUCGAGUUAUCGUGAAAGUAAAAGUAUGAUUAUGUACUGAGAUGAUGGAUACUUUGGACCCCAGGCAUGCAUUUGAAGCUAUGUCUUUCAUCGCCGAAACGUUCAUAUUUUUAUACGUGGGGAUGGACGCACUGGACAUUGAGAAGUGGAAAAUGAGCAAACAGAGGUGAGAUAUCCACUCAAUGUGUAAGUCAUUCAGCUAAUAUACAUGUGUAUUGGAGUUGUCAAUUCAUCUUUGAACUUGGGUUGCAGCAUCUUUGAAAGUGUGAAAAGCUCUUUUUAUCAACUCGUUUACAAUGUUUGCAUCUAGUAGCUAUUUCGCUAAUGCGUAACUUCUAGUUACCUUCAAUUUAUUGGGACAACCAAUAAAGACAUAAAAAUGUAUCUAGAAAGUGAGUGGAUUAUCAACUUGGUACUUGAGCAGAGACGUUGGCUAGCAUUCCUUUUGUCUUCCUUCGUAUCAGUUGUAUGUAUAUAUGGUACAUCAAUCAUGCUAAAGUAUACUUGGGUUCGUUUCUGAAUGUUUCACUACUACUUAUUCGUGUCCGCAGUGUUUGGACUUCAAUGGGAAUAUAUGGCACCGUGCUCAUGUUGAUAGCUGUCGGGCGUGCUGCUUUUGUGUUCCCUCUCUCUGCUCUUUCCAAUUUCAUGAACCGAAAUGCUACAAGAGCGCCCUCAAUAACGUUCAAACAUCAGGUCACAUUCUAGUUAUUUGUCGAAAUAAUCAUGUUGUGGAUAACGCCCUUAUGUUGUGUGCUAUUUGUUAUCAGAUAGUAAUUUGGUGGGCUGGUCUUAUGAGAGGCGCUGUCUCUAUUGCCUUGGCAUUCAAGCAGGUACUUUAGCAUACAUACGCGUCUUAGUUUUGAUAAUGAAGUGGAACGAGUAUCUUCGAAUAUGUCUGAUUUAUUUUGAACCUAUAAACUUUUGAUGCAGUUCACUUAUUCUGGUGUUACAGUUGAUCCAGUGCAUGCCGUAAUGGUUACCACUACAGUAAUCGUUGUGCUCUUCAGUACACUUGUAAGUUUAUGCCAAUCGGAUAAGAGAAAGAACAUCAACUUCUGAUAUGGAAAAAUCUAUUGGAACGGUUAUUUUUUUGAAUUUUUUGGUUGACCUUAGAGGUGGCAAAGCAAACUCAUCUCGCAAUAUCCCGCCCAAUCCGUCCAAGCUUAAAUGGGUUUGGGUCAGUACACAAACCAUCAUUGAACUAUUGGGUAGAAGCAUGUCAAAAUGCAACACAAACCCAAGUAUACAAAAUUGAAUUGGGAGAUCUCGAAAUAUGUAAAUUUGGAGGUACUUUAGCUAAUCAUUUAAGAAAUAUAUAUUAGUUUUUCUCAUUUCCCAAAAAGAAAAAUGAAAAAGGAAAGGGGUCGGGUGAUGUUGGGUGAGUUAGGUUAUGACCCGUUAUUUGACUCAUCUUGGGCCAACUCAUAUUGCGUCAGAGCAAAUUUUGGGUUGGUCGGGUUAGGAACCAUUUAUUAAUUUGACAGUUUUAACUCGUCCAAUGUGACCCAACUCGUCAAUUUGCCACUCUCGUGGUACUUGUGGCGAUUGAAAUCUAUUAUUUCCUUUAUUAGCUUUUAGUAUAUGAAAGAAUUCAUUGUUUCCAUUGCAGGUUUUUGGCUUCUUGACAAAGCCACUGAUUAACUAUCUACUUCCACAUCAUGACCAUACAAGGAGUAGCAUAGAUAGAGAACCUACUAUCUCAAAAGAUAGGCUCCCUUUACUUUCAUUUGAAGAAUCUGCCUCAACUAACCUUCUACGCGCGAAAGAUAGUUUGUCGAUGCUGUUUGAGAGACCUGUAUAUACGAUUCAUUCCUAUUGGAGGAGGUUCGAUGACACUUACAUGAGGCCAAUAUUUGGUGGGGCGCGUAGAAAUGAGUCCUCGGGGUCGGGAUAGAAGCUAAGCCGCCGGCCUAGUCGUUUGCUGAGGAAGUGACGGUAUUAAAAAUGUUCGAUGGAGGCGCAGUAAGGGACGAUACCCUCAUUGACGAUUUGACAUUCUAACACCUAACAUGAGGUUCUAUGCUCAAGGUGUGCACUUAUUUUGACAAGUUAAUCUAAGUUGGGAAUUUGGAGCUCUUGUUUUCUCAACUCUUUUUCAUGAAGUGGAGAAAGGGAAGGUAAAUUUGCAUGGGAAGAAAUUUUAAGUUUGACUUAGGAGGAUUUUCUCUCCUUAUAAAAGCUAACUUAGGGGAGAUGUUUAUUAACUUGUCUUUAUAAUUGUUUGUUGUGUGACAAUUUGUACAAGCAUGUACAACAGGGAGGUUUCUAUAUGGUGCAUGUUUCUUAGAAAAUAAAUUAAGUUCAUAGUUGUUCUUUUGUGAUGGAUAUUCCAUUUUUUUAAUAAUCGUGAUGUCUAGGCAAAAUAAUGUCAGUUUCCGCGUAUCUCAAUUAAUUUUACGAGGUACCUACUGCUUUUGACUAGCACGUGUAUUUUUGCGUCCAUUGAAAUUUGCAUCAUUCUUGGCGUGCAAUUUAAGUUUGACAAUAGAUCUAAUAUUCAUUGUUGUCAAGCUUAUCAGAAAGGACUAUAAUAGUUUUUUUUUUUUUUGUUGUUGUUGUUGUUGAUAAUAUGGGAAAAUGUGUUAUAAAGGAAAUGAAAUUUUUUCUCAUGAUAGAUUUAAGUCAUGUGGCUUUUGAAUUUUUUUAGAAUUUUAGCUAGCCAAAUUUGUACAAAAUAAAUGAUGAAUCGUCUUGGACAAUAUCCAAAUUGAUCCAUCUAAUUGCUUCAGCAAAUUGAUUUACAAAAAAAAAGUAUGCCAAGAAUUCUAUUUUCUUUGUUUGGUAUGUUAUGUACUAUAAUUUUUUUGGCACAAUUUUGGCAUACUUUCUCUGUAUUAGAUUUUUUUUUUUUCUGAUUUGGUGUUUGCUCUUGUGACCAAACAAAAUUGUAAGAAACCCAAGUAAUAUUUAGUUGAUAAUCGAAUUAGAUCAUGAUACAUCCAUUAACUUAAUAAAGUUUAAAAUAUGUUCAUUUAACUUGAUUCAAAUUUCAACCAUUUGGAUCGAGGGAUCAAUCAGCUUCUAAUAUCUAUAUAUACCAAUUUUAAGAUAAAUAUUUAUAUUAAUAUUUGACAUAAUAUUUACACGCUUAUAUUAUAAUAAAGUAAGUAAUAAAGAGGACAAACUAAUCACUCAGAGGAGACGAGAUUAAAGGAAGCUAGUUCACUUUCUCUCAAUUAUAAUAUAAGUUAAUUUAAUUCUGAGUGAAAAUAUUUUACAAUUGGUUAAUUUGUGCAUGUAAGCCACCUAUUCAGCGUGAAUUUAAAUUUAGUCAAUAAAAAGAUCAUAAAUUAACCUGUGCAUAUAAGUCACGUACUCGGUGCGAAUUUAAAUUUAAUCGACUUCCAAAAAAAAAGGAAAUGAAAUUUAAUUGACCGCUAUCCCUUUUUUAUUUUCCUAUAUUACGGAAAAGGAAAAAAAAAACUGUAUUAAGGCCGACUCCCAGUACCUAUAAACCAGCAAGCAUUUCACCUAUUUCUGAGCUCAAGAUUAGAUUCUACUUAAACCAAAAAAAAAAAAAAGAUUAGAUUCUACCGCCAACUUUACUUCGAAUUAGGGUUUCGCCAUUGCGCGCCACCGUACUUCUCCGGCGACUUCGCCGCUCGCUUCUCUUUCGUUCUUUCCACAGGUACGAUAAUUAUACGCAACACUCUAUAGUUUCUUCGAAUUUAUAUCCAGCCCUAAGUUUUUAAUUCUCAGAACGAGAAUCGUUUUAUGAAUGCCUUAUGUUUUUCUCGUUUUCUCGUUUCUUCUUUGGCUGUCUAAUUAGAAAUUGAAUGUGUUUGGGUGAUACACGUAGUUCCACAACUUUUUUGGUGGUAUGAAUUACUCCCCGUCCCAAUUUAUGUGGCACCCUUUGACUAGGUACGGAGUUUUGAGAAAGAAACGAAGACUUUUGAAACUUGUGGUCUAAUUUGUGGUAAGACUAGGCACCUUUCUAUAUUUGUAUGAUUGUAGUUCAUAAGUGUAAAAGGAAAAAUUUAAAGUUAAAUUAUCUCUAAAUAUAAAAAAAUUGGCAUUCUUUUUGGGACAUGCUAAAAGGGAAAGUGCCACAUAAAUUGGAACGGAGGGAGUAUUUCUUUUCCCUAUUUUUGUCUUUAUUCAGAAGUGAAGGGAAAGAGUUGAAACCAUGAUCAUAUGUCUAUUUAAGUGUGUAUUAACUUCUAUUUGUUACUCCAAUUUUAGAAAUACACGAUUCUUGAAAAUAAAAGUUUUAAUUGCCAUUGAGGCAUCCAUAGAUUAUUUUGAUCCGUUUUAGAAGUCAGAUUGUGUUAUGCCCCAAAGAUUGAUUCAUACAUGACACACAAUUAUCUUGCGAAUUAAGCUUAUUGUAUUGCCAAUCCAGCAAACACUGGUCAAUUACAACUCGAAAUCAAAUAAGCUUAAAUAGAAAUGCUUCUAACUAUUACACUGCAACUGAUAAUAAACACCAUUUGUGGCCAACUAUCAUUGGAAAUCCAUUUUUGGAAGUUUGAUAAUGUAAUUGAAGAAGAACGUGAAUUGGAGUUUUGGGGUGGGGGGUGGGGUGGGGUGGGUAAUCCACAUAUCAGUAACAGAAUUUUGAGACGGAAAAAAGAGAGAAGAUCAAGAACAAUACCAGAAAACUUGGGUUCAAAACUCUGAAUUCUCUUCUCACGUGUCAUUUGUAUGCUUGGCUUGGGAAUAAACACGAGUCAGCGAUCCACUUUAAUGAAGGAAAGAUGUUAGUUGUCCACGUAUCUCAGCUUAUUACGCUGAACACCAACUAAGUUUAACUAACUUUUAAAUCUUUUUUUUGAGCAUACCUUACCCCUACAUUGUGAUGAUAGAAAGGCUGUUUCCGACAAACCCUUGCUCAAGGAACAGUGAAAAUAAAGUAACAAACAAUAGCAGCAACAAUAUAAUAGGAGCAAAUGGCACAACAUGUAAUAAUAAAGAACCAGGAAUAAGAAAAAUGCAAAAAUGGUACUGGUACUACUGAUAAGACUAAGAGACUAACUACUACCUGUCAACUUUCCACCCGAAUUCUCGACCUCCACCAUUUCCUAUCGAGGGUCAUGUCCUCGGUAAGCUGGAGCAAUGACAUAUAUUGUCUAAUCACCUCACCCCAAUACUUCUUUGACCUACCUCGCCUUUCCCUAGACCCACCAUGGUAAACUUCUCACACCUCCUGACUGGGGUAUCUAUGGAUCUCCUCUGUACAUGCCCGAGCUAUCUCAGCCUCGAUUCCCGCAGUUUGUCCUCCAUCAAGGCCACACCCACCUUGUCCCUAAUAAUUUCGUUCCUAAUCCUGUCUUUCCUGGUAUGCCCAUACAUCUAUCUCAACAUCCUCAUUUCAGCUACCUUCAUCUUUUUGACGUGCCAAUGCUCUGCCCAUACGGCAUAGUUGGUCUAACCACCACUCUAUAGAACUUGCCCUUAAGUCUUGGUGGCUUCUUCUCACACAGAAGCCUAGUAGCGAGCCUCCAUUUCAUCCACUCCGCUCCAAUUCGAUGAGUGACAUCUUUGUCAAUCUUCCGUUACCUUGGAUUACAGUCCCAAAAUAUUUGAAAUUAUCCCUUUUGGGGAUGACUUGUCUAUCAAUUUUCGCUUCCACUUCUGCUUCAGGCAUCCCAUCACUGAACUUGCACUCCAAGUGCAAACAUGUAAUUUUUGACCCUCCCCAAAAUUUUACACAUUUUACCGUUUAAAUAUUUAGUUUAGGUCUAAUAUCGCUAUUUUAACUAGUUUUGACUCUUUUACUUUAUUUUAUCACAAAAAUGAAAGUUACAAAAAAUAUUUUCUGUUAUUUAGCUAAUUGUUAUUUUAUCUAGUUACUUUUAGUUUAUCCGCCUUUGAUAAAAUUAAAAAAUACAUAAAUAGUAUUGAUAUUAUAUUUUUCCAAAAAAAAGGAUAAGAAGAAAAAUUUUGGACUAAUUUUGUCUUGUUUUUAUAUGAUAAGAUCAUUAUUUUGAGCUUGACUUGGCCCACAAGAGGCCCAAAUUCGGAUGACCCUAAACUCAAGACCCAUAACCCAUCUCCCCUUUAAAUCCUAGCCAUUCAUCCCAUUUAAUCCUAGGGCUAUCAUUAAUUCCCCACCCAAAAUAAAAACCCAAUUUCACAAACCCUAGACCUACACAUCUACCGCCCCUACCCUUCCAGAAACCAAUGAACCUCCAGGUCUUCAGCCAAAACACCUGCACACACAAAAAACAAACAAAAAUAAAAAAGGGAUACACACACUCAUAGAAAAGGAAGAACGAACAGGGAAGGAAAUUGGUUGCCUCCCCCAAAAUGACUCAACUCCUCCCAAUUUCCAAUAACAACUCCUAGGUUCAAAGAGCUAAAAUCUGCCGCCUCCAACUCCAAAAAUUAUCCAUACUCUCCAACACCCAGCAACCUAAACACACGAUUUUGGAUAGAAAUUGGUAUAGGAAAGUGUUGGGGUUUUGAGAGCUCUCUUCUCGGUUUUCUUUGGUAUUCCAAAAAUCAGGGAAAAAAAUAUUUUAAUCUUUUUGUCUCUACUUUUCAAUUCUAGUUUUGACUUUAAGAUGAAAUUUAGUUGAAAUUCAAAUUUUGUUCGUCGUCGCUGCCCGAGGCUUGCCGUUCGUGGUUCUGUCCAAAUUUGAUUAUUAUUUGAGUUCCUGUUACUCUGUUGUUGAUUCGAAUUUCGUUCUUGAAUUCGUUUGUAGCCGCACCAUUUAACAGAAUACAUUAAAGAACAAAAAGCUUCAUAUCAGGUUCAUCCAUUUUCUCUUUUACUAUCUCAUGUUAGUGUUAGUGUUGAUCUGAAUAUGAUGAGAGCCGUGGUUAAUCUGCUAGGUCUUAAAUGUUCCGAUGAAUAAUUGUCGCUUGGAUCUGUUCGGAUUUAAGUUAAAGGAUCAGUGUUUGGUUGAUCUCGUGCUUGAUAAUUAAGCUCAAGUGACUGAUUCUUUGCUUGCAUUUCCUGGAGUUUUGUUCGUUUUCUUGAAGUUGAGCAUUUGCUCAUUUACGGUCAACUAAGUUUAAUGGAUUAGGUGAUCAUAUGAAAAUUGGACUAUUGAUAUGUUAGAAUGCUUUAAAAUUCAUCAAGUUGAAGCAUGGGUGUUCGUGGCAUUUUUCUAGCAAAUUGUUUUUUUUUUCCUAUUUGCCUUUAUUUGGUUUAAGAGGGAAGAAUUGGAGUUUCUUUUGAAAAUAGUGAUGCCUAUUGUGCGUGAAGUGAGCUGAUAGAGUCCUUUGAGUACGCUAGUCAAAUUGUUGUUGGUUUAAGUCUGCUCAGUCUUUGUUUCAUGCGAGUGAAAAGGAAAGGUCUAGCUAGCAAUUGUGUGCAAUUUUAGUCGCUUUCUCAUGCCUACUGAGUUUUUUUUUAGUUGCUUAUAACAUGUCAUCAUUCAUGAUUAAAACCAACAAACUAGUUUUUCUUUGACGUGAAAACUGUUGGAAAUGUUGAAGUGGCUUAGGAGUUAAUCCGUUAAUGGUGGAGUCGGAUAUCACCAUAUCUACAUGUAUGGCUAAAUUGUUAUUCCUUGAUGCAAAUCUGCUGUUGUGUAGUAGAUUGAGUUGAAAUCAUGGCAUCUCGUUUAUGAUCUUCAUGGUAGGACUCCUGAGAGUUUGUUCUUAGUUGUGUUGUUUGGUUGUUUCUUCCUAAUCAUCAUGUUCGGAAUUGUUUCUUCGUGGAAAAGUUUUCUAAAUACAUCUUUGAUAUGAUACAAUUUUCGUUCCCAUAUGAACAUUGGCGUGAGUCGUUGGAUUAUUUUUAGCAUGCAAGCUUGCUUUGGAUGAUUAUGUACACGUUCGCGGGACAUAGUUACAAUUUUUAAACUUAAAACUGAAAUACACGUUCGCGUGACUUUGGCCAAACAAUCUGAAUAAUAAUAAAGUGUUAUUGAUUGUGUACGCGUACACGUGACAUGAUUUUUGACGCGCCAAACAAAAAAAGAGUACACGUACGCGUGACUCGUUUGAAGAUGAUUUCAUAAUUACGAAUAAUCAAGCAACUAAAAGCGGUAAGAGGGUAAACACACAUAGGUUCUAAAACGCGUAAUGAAACAAUUUAAUUAAUCUAGGUAUGAUUAAAGCGACCGUUCUAAAAUCACGGAAUCCGGGAAUGCCUAACACCUCGACCGUGCUAAAAUCACGGAAUCCGGGAAUGCCUAACACCUUCUCCCGGGUUAACAGAAUUCCUUACCCAGUUUUCUGGUUUCGCAGACUUAAAACGGAGUCAACUUUCCUCGAUUUGGGAUUUAAAAUAAACCGUUGACUUGGGACACCAUAAAUUAUCCCAAGUGGCGACUCUGAAUUAAAUAAAAUAAUCCCCAUUUCGAUUAUUGUCACUUUAAUUGGAAAAACUCCCUAUCCCCUCGAGAAAAAGGAGGUGUGACACCAAGUAUUUUGUUUUCGACCUGCUCAACUUGAAACCUUUAGGCUCCAGUGUCUGUCUCCAAACCUCCAACCUUGCGUUACCCCCCACGUCUCAUCAUUCAGUACUAUGUCAUCUGCAAAUAGCAUUCACCAUGGCACCUCCUUUUGUAUGCGUCGCGUCAGCACAUCCAAUGCCGAGGCAAACAAAAACGGGCUAAGAGCCGAUCCCUGAUGUAACCCAAUCUCCACAAGGAAAUGCUCGAGUCACCACCCGCAGUCCUCACCCGGUCAUAGCUCUCUCAUGCGUAUCCUUAAUCACCCUAAUGUCUGCUACUGAAACACCGCUAACCUCCAAACAUCUCCAUAGGACCUUCCUCGGGACUUUAUCGUAGGCUUGCUUCUCUGACAAGUGUCACAGUUAUUGACAAGUUUCACCACAUCCUUUUUCAUGCCAAGCUGGUAAAAUAGUUUUUAGUCCUUUUCAAAUUUUGGAGUUACCCUGAACGUCCUCAGUUGGUGAAUGUCUUGAAUGUCCUCGAAUUCCUUUUCAAAAACAGUUGCGAUUGGUGAGUGUUAUUGUUCGAGGAUAUGUUUUUUAGAAGGUAAAUAAUUUUAUUGAUGGUGGAUAAACUCUCUAUACAAGACAUAUACCAAAAAGUAGAGAACCUGCACCAAAAUAUGGUUCUCCACAAAAGAAGCCUAUUUUUCUAUACAAAAUAGGGACCUUACGGGUACACCAAAAAGAAACUAGGAACAAGAGACUACUUUGCAAUUUCACAAAUUUCUGGUCUACCCCAUCGAAUACCCUCCUAUUUCUCUUAACAUAUGACCCACAUUAUGGUUUGUGGAGCAACAUCCCAUGCCCUUUGACUUCUUCUCCCUUUCCUACAUGCCCAACUAUGCAACACCUCCUUCACUUUGCCCGGCAUCACCCAUUGCACUCCAAACUGACUAUGGAUCACCGAUGGCAAUUGUGUAGCCACCUGACUUGCACAUGAAGCACUAACUGACAUAAGUGAUCCUCCUCUUUCUCAGGUUCUCGGCUGUCAGUAUCACUCCCCUGGAUGUUAGAUCCAAAGAAAUACAUCUUCUUGGGCGCUCUGGGAUCCCAAAUAGAGCGGUGUGAGAAAGUAGUUUCCUCUCUCUCUAGCAGGCUCUGAUGAAAAGACUUAAUUGUGAACAAACCAUCCCGAUUCUCUGACCAUUUCCAUACAUCAUGUGAAGUGUGAGUGAUGUAUGCCCAUACAGAAGCUCAAUCAGGUUGCGAAAUUCACCCAAUUCCAAUAGGUCCCUCCUAAAUCUUAAAUCCCAAAAUACUUCCCUGGCAUGCGAAUCUAAUGGACUGUGAGUUCUUUAUGACACGAGACUCUCUAUAAAUUAGGGAAAGCCUCCUAAGCUCGCUAUCUCCACUCCACUUGUGUCUCUAAAAAUUGAUUCUGUUUCCAUCCCCAACCCUGAAGACAAGAUGUCGCCUGAACUCUUACCAUCCCUUCAUAAUACUCCUCCAUAAGCUGCAUCCAAUUGGGACUGUGAUGUUCAUUGACCUCCACCCUCCUACCAUAGUUCCAUACUUCUCUGCUACUGCCCUUUCCAUAGUGCAUUCUCCUCCAUCCUAAACCUCCAUAUCCACUUGCCUAACAGAGUUUUGUUAAGGAUUCUUAGAUCCUUCACUCCCAGUCUUCCCUGCUUGUUACAACAUUCCAAUUUACUCGAUAAUACUUCCUUGUUCCGUCUGCUGCAUCUUAAGUUGCCUGAGCUUCUCACAUAGAUGAGAUCUGACUUCUUUUGUACACCUGAUUAAUAUUUGAACACAGGUAUAGCUGCUGGAUCAAGUAUUCAUUUAGCCAUCGUCUCCUUAAUUUGAUCACUAUUCACUUGUUUCAGAAAUUUGCUGCAACUCUUUUGUCAAAUUAGGUAAAGCAGCUGUAAUGGCAUUAAGUGCUUCUUCUGGUUUCUCUCUUUGAAAGGGCAUGAACUACCCCAUUUUCAUCUUCCCUUUUUGUAUUGAAUUUCAUUGUCAAAUCCAAACUUCUUAGUUAACCCCAUUCGAAUAGCUUUAGUCACUCUCUGCUCUAGUAACUACUUAAGGGUGUAGUGAUCUCUCUUGAUCAUAAAGUAUUUAUACUACAGAGGUCUCUCCAUUUUUCCGCUAUGUGUAGUAUGCCUUGGAACUCCUCCUCAUAGAUGGAUUUACCCUAAUGCAAGGGAGCCUAGUGCCUUGCUUAUGAAGGUUAUUGGCCUGUUGUUCUGCAUGGAUACUGCUCCUAUCCCACCUUAACAAGCAUCUGCCUCACUGGCAAAUUCCUAAUUAAAAUCAGGAAGAGCCAAUACCGGGGCUGCCACCAUGGCCUCUUUCAGAGUUUCAAAAGCUUUUUUAGCUUCAUCUUUUCGAAAUGCAUUUUGUCUUAACCUGUUAGUUCGUGGUUUGCUUGUCUUCCCAUAUCCAGCAAUCUAGGCCAAAGAAUCCCCUCAGUGCUUUUAUUUUCCUUUUCCAUGCUUUUAUGUUCUUAGGGCUAGGCCACUCAAUCAUAGCAUGUACUUUGAUGGAUUGGUGGCAACUCCUUUUGCUGUAACUGUGUGACCCGAAGUACUCCACCUUAUGCCCUCCAACAGACCAAUUAGACCUCCUUGCAAGUAAGGAAUUUUCCUCUAAGCUUUUUUCAGUUUCACAUACGGUUUAACUGUAUAGGCUUGCAUUCAUGGCCCAUGGAGUACCUAUCCCCUCAUCUGUAGCACAAACUAUGGGCCUUUGGGUAUGCAAAACCCCCAUGUGAUGUAGUGUUGUUCUUAGCAUUGAACACAUUAGUGGCAUUUUUAGUAGCUUGAACUCCCUUAUUAGCAAUCGCUCCAGUCUGGUGCUACCAUCAGACAUAUACCUCAACUUGCUCCUCUUUAACAUAGCCUCUAUGGGUCACAACUCACAAGCCUGAAGACGUGACAGAUAGUUUAACUUCUUCUUUCAAUCCUCCCACAAAAUUAGAUAGGAAGUACGCAUCAUUCAUAGUUGGCUUCCGGAUAAGCAAAUGAGCCCUGAGCUCUUCUACAACAACAACAACAACAAAAAAUCUAAUGAAAAUCCAACAAGUAGGGUCGGGAGAGGAUAGAGUGUACGCAAACCUUAGCCCUACCUUUGUGAAGGAAGAGAGGCCGUUUCCGAUAGACCCUCGACACAAAAAAAUAUGGGAAAGAAGCAAUAGCAACAAGCAGUUCCAACAACACGAUACUAGAUAAACUAAAGCGAAAGAGACUAGAAUGGGAUUAAGGAACAGAACAACAUAUAUUAAAAGAAAACUAAGCCUAAGGGAAUACAAGAGCAAUACGAAAUACUAAAGGUAUCGAAAAGAAACACGCUCAACAACCUACUAACCUUCUACCCUAAGCCUAAGGGAAUACAAGAGCCCUUAGCUCGUCGAAUUUCUUAAAGUAUUCACUGUUCUUACUUAUUAAAAAGGUAUUCUUCAACUGUCCCUGUUUGCACCAUUUUGUUAAAUUCUUUUACCACAUCUGCCACUAGUGACUCCACAAACCUUCUGCAAGUGUUAUCUCUAAAUUCAGCCCAGGUUACCACACCUCUAUUCAACAAAAGGUUGAUACCACGAUUCAGCCCUCUAAUUCAAGUAAAGGAUAGCUCGUUCUAAGUUUUGCACCUUAGGUACCCUAUAAUCUGAAAGUAUAACACUUUCUCACCCAUACCAUAGGAUCACUACCCUCAAAUGAUGGGAAACCUGAUUUGGGUAAGUGAGAAUGCAAUCCGUUAAAUUUGAUCAUUCAUCCAUCAUUGACAGGAACAAGUAGCAAUCCAACCCCAGGUCGUGCAACAGCUUCAAUUUCUCUUUGCUCUGCCCCCUUUCAGAGGCUACCAGUCGAUCAGAAAUGUGCUCAAACUUCAAAGAGGGCAUGAAUGCCUGCUUGAGAAUCGUUCAAUGUACUAUGACAAAGUGCUAAUUCAUCCCCCCUUUGAUUUGUCUCCUCCAACGAUUCUUCUUGUCUCCUCAUCCUUUUAUCAAGAGUUUUAAUCAAGUACCCUCUGUAAUAGUUCACCCACAAGGACCAGAAAGAUGCUCUGAUACCUAUUGUUAUACCCCAAUAACUAUCACUUGACACAAACAAUUAAUGCUGAGUCAGGCUAGUUUUAUUGCCACACCAGUGAACCAUUCAAUUACAACUAGAAAUUAAAUAAGAAACUUAAAUGGAAAUGCUUCUAUUACACUGGAACUGAUAAUAAGCACCAUUUUUCGGCGACGUAUCAUCAGAAUCCUGUACUCGACAAUGUAAUUGUAGAAGAAUGUGAAUUGAAGAAGAAAGGGAAAUCGACAUGAAUUGGUAACGGAAUUUUGGAGAGGGAAAGAAGAGAGAGAAGGUCGAGAACAAUACCAGAAAAUUUGAGUUCAAAACUCUGUAUCUCUCUCUUUGCACGUGGCAUUUAUAUGCUUGGGAGUAAAGAUGAGCCGUCCAUCCACUUAAAAUGAAAGAAAAUCUCAGCCUUUCACGAGUCUCGCUUGUCACUCUUACUCAGCCUUCAUUAACACUGACUACUUUUAACUAACAUAUUGGAUUUCGAAGUGGUGCAUAAUUCCAAUUUUAGAACUAUCCAAUGCUUAACGAUCAUAAGAUUUUCACAGCAACAAGGCUUCAUUUUCAUCUGAAAAAAGCUUUUCUACUAUAUGGAUAUGUUUUCCCAGUUAAAGAGUAUAAGCCAUAUCUUAACUCCAUGCUUUUUAAUCUUUGUAUACUGGGUGAACUUCAUCGGCAGGUAGUCAGGUAUUCCUCCAGAGCAUUUGGGGAAAGUGGGUAUGGCAUCUUCUGAUGAUGAAGUUGAAGCAGUCCCGAGUACUGUCUCUAACUAUGAAUUUGUAGAUGAUAAGGAUGAGCCUGUUUCAUUCGCGGACCUAAAAUUUCAGUGGAAUGAAACUGAGAGUCUGGAUGGGAAAAAAAGACAUGUUUUCUUGCGUGGGACUGCGGAUAAUGGCCUUCAGAAGAUUUAUAAGCAGGUCACAUCAUGGAAGUUUGAUUUUUCACGUAUAGAGCCAGCGGUUUCAGUUUUAUCUAAAGAGAACGGUUGGAUCAGACUUGAAAAACCGAGGAAGGCUUUCCAGGAUACCAUUAGGUCAAUCUUGAUCACUGUGCAUUCCUUGCACUUCCUGAAAAAAAAUCCAGAAUCUUCUGGCAGAGCUUUGUGGGAUCACUUAUCUAAAGUUUUCAGGUUCCCAUAUUAUAUAUAGUGUAUUAGCAUAUAUUUUCUUUUUGUCGAGGAGAAUCUAGAAUCUUACCCAUGUUUUUGUAGUGUGUAUGAGCCCAGGCCUUCGGAGAAUGAUCUAGUGGAUCACAUGAAAUUUAUCAAUGAAAUUGUUAAGCGUGAUGGAAAAUUGGCUCAAUCCAAGGUUUGUAUGAUUCCUUGCUUUGAUUGGAAAGAUCUCUAGUUCAAAUAGUUUUAAAUUCACCUUUGUUAUCUGUUAGUUUUCCCUCUUUUUUAAGGAAAACACCCUACACUAGGAGAUACAUUGCAUUAAGGGUAAAAACUGAAUAUAAGUUAGCAAGUUAUUGGCUGAUAUCACUAUUAAAUGUUCCACUUUACCUAUGCUUCAAAUAAAUCGUGGGGUGAGGUUGCUGGGAGGUACUUAGAAUCCUUACUUAAAAUGAAAAGGAAGUAUUUAAAAUGUGAAAAGUGGAGUAGUUGAAAGAUAUCACAUAACAAUGGUUUAUUUAGUUUUUGAAUUGUUAGGCGAAGAAAAAUUUGCCAUUUAAGGAAAUCAGCCAAGGAAAGCUCUUUAUGGGGGACUCUGUUAACUAAAGGGGAGGUCUCAAGUACUUUCUAUGUUAGAGAUGAGGUACAAGAAGUUUUUGUUAAAUUAGAGUCAUACGGCUUGUUUGGACGUCGUUCUUUUUGGCUAAAAGUGCUUCUUUUUUUUCCCCCAAAGUUAAGGUGUUUGACCAAGCUUUUAGAAUGAAAAAAGCGUUUUGAGUAGCAGCAGAAACAAUUUUUGAGAAGUAGAAAAAAAAUUACUUUUCCCCAAAAGCACUUUUGAGAAAAAUACACUUAGAAGCACUUUUUAAAAGCUUGCCAAAUAUAAUUGCUGCUUAAAUGCUUUUCAAAUUAAUUAGCCAAACACAAAUUGCUUUUCAAUGAAAGUGAUUUUUUGAAAAACACUUCUCAAAAUAAGUUGAAGUGCUUUUCAAAAAAUUACUUUCAUUGAAAAGCAAUUAGUGUUUGACUAAUUAAUUUGAAAAGCGCUUCUCAAAAUAAGUUGAUGUUUUUUAACCUUUACCUUAUCAAAAAAAAAAAAAGUUGAUUUUAGAAGCACGGCAAAACGUGCUAUCAGUCUCUCUGGAAUUCGCCACAAUUUAAAAGAUAUAUUUAAACCUUUUAUGUCAACAAGUGAACCUUGAAAUUUCCAAAAAGAUGUUCACUCAAUUGAAUAAUGAUAUCUAUUGCCUUGGUGGUAAAACAGAAAAAGAAUGAAAGAAGAAAAACAUGGCAUGCUCACUGCUCGAGAGUCAAGUCAAAAGUAUUUUACAUCGGCCAUUGCAUAUUUGUUUGUGAAUUUUCAUAUAUGGCUUUAAUAGUACUUCACACGUAUCCUAAAACGGAACCCUUCAAUUCCAUUUUUACAUGACCCUGUUUGAGCGGGCUUCAGAAUUUAGGAGUUGAUUUAACAUAUCUAUUACUACAUAAGUGACAAUAAAAGAAAAUAAUUAAGUGAUGGUUGAAUAGUUAGGUUUACCGAGAAGACAUCAUAUAGGUUAAUGAACUUGAAUUCUAAAAAAAUGUGAAUUUUAUAUAGGAAUAAUAAGAUAUGGUCAUACACUGAGAUAUUCAAAAUGGAGAGAGGGUCAUAUAAAUUGGGAGAAGUGGAGUGUGUCUAUAUAUAUAUAUAUAUAUAUAUAUAUAUAUUUUGUGACGACGGCCCAUUUAACUUUCUUAAUUCGCAUAUCCUUACUUGAAAGUACUUUCUCUCUGUCAUAGUGUUUGAGGGAGUUUUCUCUAGAACUCUAGGUCAAGAGUUCAAGGCUGGUAAGUCGCAAACCAAAAAAGUACCUCUCGUAUAUCUCAUAAAUAUACAUAAUUUUUUUUCGUGGACUGAAUUACCCGAUGUCUGACUUGAGAUGGAAUAAAGUACUCCAGAUCAGGUUGUUCCUUUUUGGCCUGAGUUUCUCCUUUUUCCUUCAGGAAUCUGUUUUUCUUUCCUUUCCUCUUCUCAAGUAUUUCGCAUCUUUAUAGUUUAUAGCAAAGGGUGAAACUGAUCUUAUUUUCUGCAGGUUUUACUUACUUUUUUGGAGGAGAAGCCUAAGAAGAAGAAACUAUUUGAUGAGGUUGUACAUAUUCUUUCCCUUGCUUUUCUAAGAUAGGAAAGCAGGAGUUGAGAAACAGAACAUCUGGUUUUCUUUUUGAGCUUGUGCUUUGUUUAUUUUGUCAGGUUGGGUCAAUAUCCGAGUUUAUAGUCGAUGAUAUCAUAGAUGACAAUGAAGAAGAAGAAGAAGAUGAUGAUUACAAUCACUUCGAAUCUCUCUGCGCAAUAUGUGACGAUGGUGGUGAACUUCUUUGGUGUGUGCUUAGUCCUUAUCUUACCAGAAAGACAACUCUGAUGUCCAGCUUAUGUUGUAUUUUUUCCUUGAAUAUGCGCUCGCUUAGUUGAACUAAGUUUAGUUUGCCAAAUGUUUUCAUCUUAUCUGAUUUUCUUUUUUCAAUGUUCCAUUGUUAAUGUUUUAUUUAUUCCCAACAAUAUGGAUUUGCACAUAGGUGUAGAUCAUUGAUUCAGGUUGUUUGGUCAGCUUAUCAUAACUAUAAAGAACAGAAAGAUAAGCUCUGCAGUCCAUUGUCCUACUGAAUACAUAGUGCAUUCAACUGUGUUUGAAGUUAACGACAUGUUCUGGCUCCUAGGUCUUUGUUGAGUUUUUCUUAGUUUGUUUUAGUGAUAUCAAAUUGACAUUUUUGUUUGCACCUACUUCUGCUGAGAACUUUUGUAAUUUCAAAGUGUAUAUCUACCUGAUAGUAGUAUGUAGUUACAUCCUAAUUCUCUCUUUUCCGAGGUGGUUAAUUUUGGUUCUGAAUUGCUUAUUGUCGUCUUAAAGCGUAAUUACUAGUGGCUUUUUUCUGUUUCUCCAAAUAAUAUGCCCCUUGUGAUCUCAACCAGUUGCGAUGGAAAGUGCUUGAGGUCAUUUCAUGCUACAGUGGAAGAUGGUGCUCAAUCUCAGUGUGAGUCUCUUGGAUUUACCAAGGCUCAAGUUAGGGUAUGUCAAAGUUUGCCUGAAUUUCGUUCCUUCUAAUGAACUUAAUUUUCAUCUCUGCUUAGCAUAUUGCUUCCUACUAAUACAAGUUUUUCUCCUUCAAGGCAAUGAAAUAUCAAGAUUUCUAUUGUAAAAAUUGUGAAUAUCAGCAGCACCAGUGCUAUGCUUGUGGGGAGUUAGGUUCUUCUGAUCAAUCAUCUCAUGCAGAGGUACGAACAAACCUGUGUGACCUGCUGGAAUAGUACAAUUGUUUGAAGAUGUUCAGCCAUCUGCUACUGUUGAAUGUUGACUGUUAAAUCAAUAUAGGAAAAUAGUGCGUAUAGUAGUACAUGAUUGUAGCGUAUAGUAUAUUGAAUUAAGACUUACAACUGGUUAAUCCAACUGUUAUAGUCCCCAUUGAUUUCUGGAUAUGCCUGCAAUGCCACUGAAAAUAUUCUCCAUGGGUACGGCUGUUCUCACUCUUUUAAUACAUGCACUAACUGCUUUGUCCCAGAAGUUUUCUUCAGAAAAGCCCGGUGUGUGAUAGCUGGACUGAGGGGUACUUAAUAUUGGAGCUACUUCUUUCUGUGUAAAACUGGAGUCCUUUCAUUAUAUUCAUUCUUGCUCCUCAUGCGCACUCAUCAGCUCUAUUACACUGCUCUUUCUCCAAACUCUUUUAUGUUUUGGUUUGUUGGGGUGCUGCUGCUGCUUCUUAUUCUACCUACUUCCUCCUUUUUGACGGUAGCUUUGCUUCUUCCUUUUUUUCUUUUAGUGUUUUCUUUUCUUUUUUCUUCUACCUAAUACCACCUUUAAUCAUACUUGGUGCUCAUUUUUCCUUUCUGGUAGGAAUUGUUAACUCCUGCUCCCUGUGGCAGUAAAUGAAAAGAAAUUUCGCAACAAAAGGCUAGCAUAAGCGCCUAUUGCAUUUAAUUGCAUGUAUGAUUCUAUUUCGUUAAGAAAACAAUUAGUAGUGCAUAUCUGUGCUCUUGAUGUUAUUUUCGAGUUUGUACUUUAAAUUGCAGCUUUUUCAUGGAUAUGGUUAAGUCAAACUUUUGGGUAUGUUUUUCAGGUCUUCCGUUGCGUUAAUGCAACUUGUGGCCAUUUUUACCACCCAGAUUGUGUUGCCAGACUGCUUCAUCCUGAUGCUCAGUUGAAGGUUGAUGAACUUAGAAAGAAGAUCGCUGCUGGUGAACCUUUCGCUUGUCCUCUGCAUCAGUGCUGCGUCUGUAAACAGAGAGAAGAUAAAGAUAAAACCGAGUUACAGUUUGCCAUGUGUAGACGGUGUCCAACAUCAUACCAUCGGAAAUGCUUGCCUAAGUACUUACUUUAUUGCUCCUUGAUAUUCUCGUGGACACUGGACAGUACUUUGUGUACAAGUGUAACUAGUCUUAUGUAAAUGGCCAGGGAAAUUGUUUUCGACAAAAGCAAGGAUGAAGAAGAAAAUGACGAGGACGAGGAUGAGGAGAUGCCAAGGGCAUGGGAUGGUCUUAUACCAGAUCGAAUUUUGAUUUAUUGCUUGUGAGUUCUUUACAUGUCACUUCUGCGUUUACUUCAUCUGAGCUGGUAUUUUUCAAGUGAGCUUUACUCUAAUUUUUUCCAAGUGGCUUAAACUGACAAAUUCUUCAGAAAACAUGAGAUUGAUGAAGAGCUUGCUACACCUUCAAGAAAUCACAUCAAAUUUCCGGGAGACCAUAGGAGGGGAAAGCAAAUAUCUGAAGAAUUGGACAAACUAAAAGGAAAAUCUGCAGAAGUUACUAAUGGCAGAGUGAUUGCUAAAAAACCAAAAACUGAUGAAAAAUUGUCCAAGGCAGUGAAGGAUGAUUUUUCCAGAAAGAGAGAGAGGAGAUUGUCUCUACCGGAUUCUUCAAAAAGACAAAAAGUAAUUGAUGCUACUAGGAAGAGUUUGAACAAGACAUCAUCUGCAAAGCUCAACAAAACUGUCAAUAGUGAAGGUAAAGCCUCUUUAGGUCUAAAGUUAUAUGCACUCAUUAGCAGGGAAUCACAACCCGUUGAGUCUAGUGAAGAGGGGAAAACCAAGAUCAUGAAGUCUGACAAAAAGGAAACAAGCAGUUCACAGACUUUAGAUGCUAUAGCAAAGAGCAGGUGAAGCACUCUAGCUCUGUCAAUAACUAUUUUCGCUUGAGGUUCCACAGAUAUAACAGCUUUUCCUUUUCCUUGCUUAGAAUGAAUGUUUUAACUCAUAGCUAUAAAUUUUGACACGGUGGAAAUGUGGUUUCAUCUUAAAAUGGUUUUGAAAAUUACUCCAGAUGUAGGCUGCUAAUGAAUCCCAAACCCAAAAAAUGACCCCCAUAACAAAAAAAGCUAGUUUCUUGAAUGAACUGAAUUAACAUGAUAUAAUUUUUUGUUGUUUUAGUUCUGCUUUUUCUUUAUUCUACUGGCAUAUGGUAGGAUGCUGUAUUUGUGCUUUUCUCGAGGUCUGAUCCAUGUAUUCCUUUCUGUUUUCGGUGACUGAUAAGAUGCUAUUCUGAUUUCCUUCAGAAUUUUGUCUAUUAUGAAAGACGUCAAAUCCUCUAUAACUAUGGAUAAACUGGUGAAGCAAAUAUCACCAACUACACAUGCAUACUCGUCAAAAUUUGACAAAUCUAUAACCUUGGGGAAAGUGGAGGGUUCCAUUGAGGUACUUGAGAAACUAUUUUUUAUGCUGAUUUUUGUUGAAAGUAUCUUUAGUAUGACCUAUUUUACCAGAUGUCCUGGAGCGACAUCCAAUAAAAAUGACCUAUUUUAUGUCUUGCAGGCUAUUCGUGCGGCCUUGCAAAUAUUGGAUGAAGGGGGCAAAAUUGAAGAUGCAAAAGCUGUCUGUGAGCCUGGGCUUCUUGAUCAGAUAAUGAAGUGGAGGGUACUUGUCAUUCUUCUUUUUAAUUUGCUUAUUCUAAUUGCCUUGAGGUCUGAACAUUUAGUUGUCCAUGCUAACUUAAAUAUAUGCUGUCUUUGACCUUAAGCAGCAUCAAUAUGAUAUGAUGAACAAUGCCCCUUCCCUCUUCAGACAAAAAAGAAAGUGAUAUUUUUGAGGGGUGCGUAUUUCUGGAACGCUGUAGCAUAUAGUAAUAUGCUUACACCCCUAAUAUCAGAUAAUCAAAAUGAAACUGUUUAGUACUUUUUUCUUAUUGGUGUAAAGAAUGACCUGUAAAUGAUAGUGACUCCAUACUUGAUAUCAUAGAAUCCUUGUAAGUUCUAUUAGUAGGGGGAUUCUUUACUCUUUUUGGGAUAUGUAUUUUGUCACUUCUACCAGCACAAACUUUGUGCUGUUUUCUUUUAUAAAAUGUUACCGUUCUCAAAAAAUAAUAUGCUUACACCCCUAGAUUGGUCCUGUGGUCCAGUGUCCAACUGCAAACCUUGAUCUUUGUCGAAUCCUGGUUCCCCUUCCCCCUGUGGAGCCAAGCACACAUUCUCCAAAAGCAGUGUUGUAAAAAAGCAGAGCGCUUCAUCGCUUAAAGGGAUGAAGCGAGCCUAUGGCGCUUCAAGGGUGUGAAGCGAGGCGAUCUUAAUGAAGCGACCGCGUCAUGCGUGAAGCGAGGCGAGUUAUUCUUUAAAAAGCAGCGAUUUUAGUAGUAAAAAGGAACUUUGGGACUCUUUUUAAAAAAUAAAAAAAUUAAAUAUAAAGAAUUAAGUCAAGGUAAUGUAAGGCAAAAGAAGUGGUGGAAAUCUAUCCCAGCUGUGGACAGAGAGAAAGGCAAGGUGCUUUGAAGAUAUCAGCAGUCCUGUACAUAUAAUUAAGUCAAAUUGUAUUUUGUCCUUGUACUCUUGGUGCAAAGAAAAUUAUGUAGAGGGUGCUGAAUCUUUACUUGAUUUUCUAGGAUCAUUGUAAAGAGUUAUUAGUAGUUCUUGUAAGAUGAACAAGACUGUUUACUCGAACUCUAAAUAGGGUUGCCAACAUUUCCUUAAUGCUGAUGAAUACACUGUUACCAUCUUAAAAAAAGGAGUCCAGGUUGGGAUCUCUUUUAGAAGAGGUCAAACAUAUGCUUAUAUAAUGUUUUUGUUGAGUUCUUUUUUAUUGUUAUUUUACUAAUCUGAGCAAAGUUUUUUUUUUUUUUGUAUAAAAAUGCUCUACCCAGACCCCACUUGUGGUAAUAUAAUGGGUUUGUUGUUGUUAUUGUUUUUAAAAAUUGCUCUUCACUUCAAAGAAGCGCAUGCUUCAUGCUUUAAGCGAAGUGAGCCCCUGUCGCUUUUUUGCGCUUCGCUCUGAAAAACACUGUCCAAAAGUGAAAGAUAUGCUCACUAGCCCCGGGUGGGGGAAUGGGCGAAGGUAGAGAGAGAGAUCAAAAGGACACAUAUGUCUCACUACAGAUCUUGUAUCUUUCUCUACUAUCAAUAUAAACACAUACGGAUAUUUCCCUUCUGUCCUUUAAAAAAGCUUAGUUACUUAUAUGAUUUAGAUCGUUUCAGGCAUCGAAUCAACCUUUGCUUAAAUUAGUUUGUAAUUGGUUUUUGGUUGCCUUAUCCAUAUAAUUCGGUAUCUGGUUGUUUCAUGUGAAGAUCACUUCUCAAACUAAUGGCCAAUCAUUUCUUCUAUGAAGUUGUUAGUUUUAAUUGAUUUGAUAGUCAUUUAUAUAAUUAUCUUUAGUUUACGAACACCCAAAGGUGUGGCCUGGUGGUCAAUAAAGUGGGUUGAGAACCACGAGGUCUCAGGUUCAUAUCCUAGCGAAGACAAAAACUCUAGGUGAUUUCUUUCCAUAUGCCCAAACCUUGGUGGAUAAAGUUACCUAACUUGUACAGAUGGGAGGUGGCAUGUGCCCCAUUGAAUUAGUCAAUGUGUGGGCAAGCUGGCCCGGACACUAUGGGUAUAAAAAAAAUCUUUAGUUUACCAAUCACUCCCCGAACUAAUUUCAGUGAGAUAUUUUCUCAAAAACAAAUUUCAUAACACUGAUAAAUAAGCACCGUCAACAACUGAAUCAUAUUGAACUAUCAAUAAACCUCAAGAUAACUAUGUUGAACUGAUUGUUUGAUUGACUUAGGUUUCUUUGCUUUUGCCAUUUAAGUGAUUUAAAAUUUUCAAUGUUAAGUUUGGUUGCUGGUCUAUCAAUUUAGUUGCUUGCUUCUUUUGGCACAUUGAGAUGGCUGUUUGGUGGUUUGUAGUGCUGAAGCAUUAAUCUAUUCUGCAUAACUAGGUCUAAGCAUUUUAUAUUAGCUGUUCAAGUGGGUUCAAGUGUUCUAUAUUGCAUUUUUAGCAGACCUAGAUUUUAGUGAUUGCUAAAAGCUGUACCUCACUUUGCUUUCUAUUUCUUCCCUUUGUUUUUUGUUUAUUGUUUCCCCAAAUUUCUCAUAAAUACCGAAAUCUUUUUUUUUUGUAGAGCAAGCUGAGAGUAUAUCUUGCUCCCUUUUUACACGGAAUGCGCUACACGUCCUUUGGUCGCCAUUUUACGAAAGUGGAGAAGCUGAGAGAGGUGAGCUAGAACUUAAAGCUUUUUUUGUCAUCAGAAGAUAUAUUUGUUGUUUGUUCUAGUGAGUUCGAUUUCACCUCUCCGGCUGGUGAUAUCGGAAAUUGAGCCAGAAAGAAGAUUAAGUACGGGCUUUUGAAUUUUUUUUUUUUGGGGGUGGGGAUGGGGGGGGGGGGUUGUUCCCCAUCUAAUUCCCUUGUUAAGGUAGUUUAAAAUAAUCUGAUUAUGUGCUAGCUUAUCUCCAUUUAAUAUUGCUCGGUGGCUCCAUUUCCGAUUUCUUAUUUAUUGUUUUGAAAUAUUCAUACCUUAAGGUAGAGAAGCAGUGGUUGUUCCUUGGAGUAAUUGUACUUGAUUGACAUACGUGCUUGUUAGGGCAUUAUCAGUUGAUGAUUAUUCAGUGAGAGUUUUGUACCAUAUCGAUAUUGCUGCUCAUUCAGCUCUGUUUUUUCUUUUUUUUGGGGGGGGGGGGAUGGUAUAUUACUUCUCUUAAAUAUAUAAGGUUUAAACAUGGAUUUUUAAAUUGCCUUAUACAACAUUAGAGCCGGUUUGGAUUAGAUGAUUUGAAGUAGCUGAUAAGCAUUAGGUGCUGAAAAGCACUUUUAAGUGCUGAAACUGAUUUAAUAAAUAAGCAGUUAAGUGUUUGGGUACAAGUGCUAAAAUUGAUAAUAAGUUGCUGCAGCAUUUGAUAAAAAAAUUGUGAUAAGUUCUUUUUCUGUUAAAAUGACUUAAAUAACCUUAGAACUGUUUACACUUGUAAGGGCAUAAUUUCUUUAAAAUUUUAGAUUCCAGAUCGAUUCAAAUACAAAAUAUUCUAUUUGUUAUUUUAUUUUUAACUGUGUGCUUAGAUAAGAUAAUUUUUAUGAUAAAUAUAAUUUAUUUUAUGAUAAGCAUAUUAAUCAUAAGUUAUAAUAAUUAAUAAAUUGACAAAAGUUUCUCAGUAAAAAAUAAACCUAAAUAGGACAAAAUAUUGGAAGAGAAACAAACAUUGUCUUCAUCACCACAACACUUAGAAAGCAAUUCACCAAAAAUUUGAUAUGUCCUCAUUUAUUAAAUACAGUUCAAAGAUUAAUACACAAUCACAUAGAUAUAAAUAUGCAAAGGAAUAGAGAAUUUGCUUAUCUUAAAUAGUCAAUGAGAAUUGCAGACUUGAAGAGGUUGGGGGAGGGGUUUAGGUUGAAUACUUGAGGCAGUGAGUAUCAAUGUAGGAGUUUCAUUCUAAAAAGGAAUAUUUUAAGGAUAAAAUAGUAAAAAUCUUGGUCAAACUCAAAGUGCUUAUAAGCUAAAAAUUCAUAAGCUGGGGGUGGCUAGCUUAUGACUUAUUUUUGACUUAUAAGCACUUGGCUUAUAAGUACUUUUAACUUUACCAAACACGUAGAUAAGCCAAAAAGUGCUUAUAAGCUAGUUUGACUAGCUUAUAAGCUUAGCCAAACACCCUCUUAGUCAUUGGUGUUCUCACUUUUAUCUUUCUACUUUGUGGAAAGAGGAACUGCUUGUUCUUGUCACUUGAAAUCUUUUUAAAUUUUAGGAUCUCUUGUUGGCUGCUGGAGACUGAGAUACAAUCAAUCUCAGUGUUCAGAAUACCGAAAGUGCGCAUGCCUAGGUACGGCAGAUUUGUGUGUCUUUUAUCUCUGGAAGAAUCAUUGCAAGUGCUGUCUGUCUGUCUUUGGGGGAGCUUAAGUCAUCACCAUCCUGGAAUAUGCAACCAAAGUUUAGGGCAUCAUUUUUUCCCUUCUACUUUAUGUGAACGAGCUGUGGAUUAUAUAAGGAAUUUGAUAUCCUUUCCACCUCUUCCAAUAGUGAAAAAGCAUGAAUCAUUUUGAGCUUUCUGGUUGGAUCAUUUUGAGCAGUGAUCUCUCUGACCAUGAUCUAUGAUAUUCUUUUAGUGCAUUGUAUUGCAUGUCUAAUCAUUAGAUCGUAGAAUGUCAUCACUGCUUUGGUAUUUGCAGCCAUUUUUGAAUGCGUCUUCCGUCUAUUUUAUUUGGAAUAGCAAUGGAUUAUAUAAUGGAUGUUAUCUACUUCUCACCUCUCGCAAAAGCUGACAAAGAAAAAAGGCAAAAAAAGGAGAGGAUAAAGUAAAAAUUACCCUUUCUAGGUUUGUACCACUUCUGCACCUUCUGGCUGGAUCAUUUGAGCAGUGAUUUUCCCUUGACCGCGCUCUAUGAUAAUUUUUCACUGAAUCUUAUUUCAUGUCUAAUCCGCACGGUGUCUGUACAUUCCAUAUUUUGCUCAACUAAUAGUAUGCUUCUAUUGUGCAGAUUGCCGAUAUGCUUCAUUGGUAUGUUCGAGAAGGUGAUAUGGUAGGAGUCUGUACUGGCCUUACGCUUUAUGAGUGGAAAUCUAGUUACCAACUUGAGUACAUCAAUUAUAUAUAUAUAUUUCUCACAAAAAAAUUGUGAGAUAAAGAGCAGAUGGAUCCUAUUUUUUUUCUGUCAUGUAGAUUGGUUAUAAUCCUCCAACUUUAUUCAUUGGUAUUCUGCUAUAAUAACAUUUUUAUAGGGGAAUAUUUUAUUUGGAAUGAUGAUGAUAUGAAUUAAGCUUAAAGAAAGAAGUGAGGAUUCAUAUAGCCGACCCCAACUUGUUUGGGAUUGAGGGCGUAGUUGUUUUUUUUGUUGUAUAGAAUGACAUCACACAUGGUUAGAAGUGUCUCAAGUUCCUGUAAUAUAUUAUCUGCGUUCAAUUCAUCUGUUAGAUAGGUGUUACUAUUAUGAUCUCUUGGGGGCAAUUUUUAGUGCGGUGAAGUGGCUUUCCCCACUUGGCUGGGGUCAAAAGACAAGAGAGAAAAAGAUUAUCUUUCUGAUGCUUGUUUGGGGCUCCUGUUUCCCUUUGUUGGCUUAUGUCAUUCUUUUCUUAUGGUUUCGCCCGCCUUUAGCGUGGAUUAGUUAAAAAUUUCCUUUGAAGUUCGUCCAAAGUAUAUUAUAGGCAAGUGACAGGAAAGUGAGGUACAUGGACCAAUUAGUCAACUGUUUUUUACAUAUCUUUCUUCUAUUUUCUUAGAUGUAAGGAAUAGCCUGCAGUUCAGUCACCCGCGGCUAAUUCAAUUCACUCUUCUUGAAGCUCUUGUGAAAUAGUCUCUGUGGAUCCUUUUAUUUUUGGGGGCAAAGACACAAUGUCAUCCCAAAAUCUGAAAUGGAUAUUGGCAUUGAUGGUGGCAGUAUGGAGAUUAUACAACGCAAAGCUAUUGACAUGAUGUAUUUGAUCAAGUUAGAGCGAAUCUUGUUUUCAAUUGCUUGUAACUUAGUGUUUAAAUGCAUUACGGUCAAAUUUAAAGACCUCCCUGGGGAUUAAAAGUUUGUUGAACCUAUUCUUCUAUUUGAGUGACAAAAAGUGCAGUUCGAGUUAACCAUUAUGUUUGGGAAAUUUGAUGUAACUGAAAGUAGGACUUCUCAGUGUACUUCGGAAUGUGUGCAAGAGGAGAUCUUUUAUUUUGGCAUGAACAUAAUAUGGCUAGAGUUAGGCUUGCUCAGUAAUGGUGGAAAUGGCAUGAUUGAAUUUUUGCUAUUAUGUUUGAUUUUAUGCAUGGCGUGGAAGUAGCGGAAAUGAUGAUGCUUAGAUGGAUGUGCGGGCAUACUAGGAGAGAUAAGAUUAAUAAUGAAGUAGUGGACAAGAUGCAGGAAGCGAGGCUGAUAUGAUUCGAGAAUGUGAAGAGGAGGAGCAUGGAUGCCCAGUAAGGAGGUGCGAGAGGUUGGCAGUGACAAGUCUAAGGAGAGGUAGAGGUAGGCCAAGAAAGAAUUGGGGAAAUGUGAUUAGACAGGACAUGACACAUCUUCAGCUCACCGAGAACAUGACUCUAGAUAGGAGAGCAUGGAGGUCGAGGAUUAGGGUAGAAGAUUAGUAGGUAAUCGAGCGAUUUCUCUGUUAUUUUGUGAGAGAAUAUGAUUCUAGUUUAGAGCACUUUAUCUACCCCCUCUUCUCUGUAUCAUCAUCAUUAUUGUUGUUGUUAUUAUUAUUAUUCUAUCAUUAUCUUAUUAUUCAAUUGUAUUCUACUUUUGUUUCUUCUACUUUGGGUAUCAUUACCAUCUUAAUGUAAUUAUUUUUUUUCCUUUAGUAUUUUCAUCUUAGCUUUUCUUUUUUACUCUUGUAUUUUCCACCUGUUUUGAAAAUGCUUUUCUUGAGCCAAGGGUCUACUGGAAACCACCCCUCCACCUCACACAAGGUAGGGGUAAGGUUAUGUUGUUGUUGUUGUCGUUUGAUUUUAUGUGUGGUUCCUCCUUUAUCCAGAAGUUAUGGCAACAUCCAUGCACAAUUUGGAUAACAUGUAACAUAGUGUGAAAUCUGGAUUGGAUUUAUGUAGACCCUUAUUCAUGCAUUUAAUGUGAUCCAUGAGAAACCUUUUUUUCUCCAUCAUCCAUGAGAAACCUCACUUGUUUAGAAACACAAUCAUCUGUGUCUGCCUCUGUUAUACUUCGGAAAAUGAUUCGUUGAACUCUAAUUACAUUUGACUUAUAUAUCUGCCAGGAAUCAGGAUAAUGUUAUUUAUGAUAUUUCUAAAGCUUCUAAGCUCAGGGAACCUUCUUUGUUUUAGCAGGCAAUGGAUUUAAAGUUUUUGUUGUUUGUUGAGCAGAUUGUGGAUUUCUGUUGCGGUUCCAAUGAUUUCAGCUGCCUCAUGAAAAAUAAGCUGGAUGAGAUGGGGAAGGAUUGCUCAUAUAAGAAUUAUGAUUUAUUCAAGCCAAAGGUGAAUGUUUUUUCCUUGUUUAGUAUGUGCACAUUUCUGGUGGAAGUUAUACAAACACGUAGGUCGGAAUCUUUUUAGCAUGGAGGAGAAUGCUUUAAGAAAUGAUGAUAGACGUUGAUACUUUGACAAGUGACUGUCUAUAUGCUUUGGUUGUUUGGAACAUUACAUUACUUAUUGCCGUUCUUUGUCCUUCCUGCAGAAUGAUUUUAAUUUUGAAAAGAGGGAUUGGAUGAAAGUAGGGCCUGAUGAAUUGCCAGCAGGAUCGAAGUUGGUAGGAAAUAAUUCUUUUUAGAACACAACAUUCACAGAUGUAUGCCAGGCACCAAAAUUCAUUGGUUUUCACCAUAUAUUGUGUGGACUUACAUUUUUUUUUAUCCCUUGGUGUAGAUCAUGGGGCUGAACCCUCCUUUUGGGGUCAAUGCUGCUCUUGCUAACAAAUUUAUUGAUAAAGCACUUCGGUUUAAGCCCAAGCUUCUUAUCCUUAUUGUACCAAAAGAGACAGAACGGUAUUUUGCAUCUCUGUUAUUUGUGUGAACUUCUUUUCUUGCCUUUCUCUUUCUGAUUUUGAUUAAUUUUUUGUAUUGGAACCAGGUUAGAUGUAAAAAAAGGGUAUCCAUAUGAUCUAAUUUGGGAGGAUGAUGUGUUGCUUAGUGGGAAGGUAGACUGUUUCUCACCGUUCUUGUGAUUGGUAUUAAGAAUGAAUAUGUAUUGGUAUUGUGAAUAUAAACUAGUAACUGUCUGAUGGCUCAUCCUUAUUCUUUUCCAGUCAUUCUAUUUGCCUGGAUCUGUUGAUGCAAAUAACAAACAAAUGGAGGACUGGAAUGUGAGUGCUCCACCACUUUAUCUUUGGAGUCGCCCUGAUUGGACAGCCGAACAUAAAGCAAUUGCCCAACAGUAUGGCCACCCGUCCAAGAUGCAAGAUAAAUUAAAAGAAAGUUGCUGCCACACACCUGUCCCUCGUUCAGUGGAACAUGGUGAUGAUGUUGAGUCGACGAGGAUCGGUGAUGAUAUUGAUUUCGAGGAUAAGAAGCUACAUCAGGACCAAGAAUACAGGGAGAGAUCGCAGAAUAACAUUGGCAAAGAAGGUGGUGAUAACCUGGGCCAUGCGAAGAUCAGAUCUGUUGAGAAGUCGAUGAAAGGGAAUCAGGAUAAAAGCAAGAACAAAUUUGAUGAGAAGUCGAUGAAAGAGAGUCAGGAUAAAAGCAAAUAUCAAAAAGAUUUGGAUGAGAAGUCAAGACAGGACAAGUCCAAAGCGAAACGUCCACGAGAUUUGGUAGAAAAAUCAACAGAGGAGAUAUAUAUUGGGAAAAGAUCUCUGUCUAGACAUUCCUCCCCCAGCGUGACCAAUCAUAAGUCAGCUGAUCAGCACGCGGUUUCAUCUUGUAAGGCAGAAGAGAAGGAACGCUAUGAACGAUUUGCUGGCCAGAGUGCUUCUGCAUUACAGACAGAGCAAGAGACAGGGUAUGGGGUGCAUCAGGACAGUGAUAUGGAAAGAAGGCACAGCUUGCUAAAGGAGGAGCCUUAUUCAAGUUUGACUCACCAAUAUCCUCAGUCUGCUAGUCCUGGUCCCGAGUAUGUGGGGCACGGGGCACAUCCGGAUGGUGACAUGGCAAGAAGGAACAGCUUGCCGAUGCAGGAGCCUUAUUCGACUUUAAAUCACCAAUAUUCUCAGUCUGCUAGUCCUGGUCCUGAGUAUGCGUUUAGGGCCUCAGAUGAACGGUUUGUGGGUUACCAGAGAGAGCGUGCAGAUAUGCCUGGUUAUAGACCAUACCCCAGUCACAUGAAUGGGGGGGUAUAUGCAAGGGAGUCAGAUGUACGGCCUCAGGGUAACCUUUAUGGGCAGCUGGGUAAUGAGUUUUCGAGUCCCAGAAGCAACUACACAGCGGGUGCCAGCACUGGUUAUCCCUCCUAUGGGCGGUUGAGUCCAGUAACUGAACCAACCUAUGGGAGGAUUAAUACUCCUGUGAUGCCACAGUAUGCUCCACAUGAUGAUUUGUAUCCUGGUAGGAUGAAUAGCAUGGGAUCUGAAGGCAGAAGUGGCAUCUACGGUGGUGGAGUUGCUCGACCUGGGUUUCCAGGUAGCUCAUCGGGUUUUGCUCCAAGGCCUUACUACCCCUUUUCACAGCAAAACUCGUCAGGGUGGCUUAACGAGUAGGCAUUGGCUGGUUGGAAUUAUUUUUCAGCAGAAUGCCUUUGCGGAGUGUUGAAGAUUUUCCUAUUUAUGUUCGUCAUGGUUCUCUUCCUAGUGUCUUCUUGUUCCAUCCUAUCAAACUUCUUUUUGCUUAUUUUGUAUAAAGAAUAAGCUAGAAAUGCACAGGCAACUAUGCUCCUUGAAUCUUCUCUAGGGGAUUGAAACUUUUGUUGUAUAUCCUUUUGUUCCUCCACUUCACCAUCUCUCUUCUAACUGGUGUUGCCUUGCUCAGUUUAUGAAAGUUGGAUUUGUGAUGACCACGAGCCUGUGACGUUUUUCUCCUCCUGUUUAUUAUUUAUGGCGCAGGUGCCAAGGCUUUGAAGUAUUUGAAUAUUUCCGAUUACUGAAAGAGAUUGUUUCACAAUUCUUGGCAUUUGGCUCUCAUAAUAGAUCAGGAUGUUAAAGAGCUUUUUAAUCUCAAGUAAUCCGAUUUUAAUCGUGAAGUGGUGUCAUAGUAAGCUAGCUAUCUCUUUCAGCGGGAAUGUUGAUUUAUAGGAAAUUAAAAAAUGGACAGAGUUUGGGGCAUCACAAGACUUCAAUACAUUUCACAUGAGGUUGGACAGCUUCAGAGGACUUUGAAAUACUCGUCCCGUCGUGGCAGAAUUGAAUCAAGAAAAGAUUUACAGCUAAAAGAUUAGAGGAAAUGAAAUCAGUGUUACAAUUUAAAUAGAGAAACAGACCAUACAAAAAUCUUGUGUGUUUUAUCAGUGUUAUACUUUACGGAUCUCAAAACACAGUAGCUCUAUGUUAUUUUCUUAUAUUGAAGGUGUACUUGGUUCUGGAAAGUCAGCUGCACUAAGCACUUAUUUGUGGUAUCACAAUUAUCUGAAUACCAAAAACUAAUGCUUUGACCUAUUAACCAUUAGGGGUUAUUUUUUUGUUAUUACUAGAUAAUAAAUAUUCCUUAGUCAAUUGAUCACUCUUCGUCGAAAAAUUACACUAUAUAUACAGCUAAAAUAUUAUAGUUUAGAGGUAAAUAACAUAUAUUGAACAUUCUUUGUCGGAUAGCUUCGUCACUGAUCGCAAGUAAUAUUGGACAUAUUCAACCCUUCAAUGUAACAAUGGUAACUUCGGCCAACACAAAAGAUGAAACUUUACCAGUGUGGAGCGACAUUUUGCAAAAGAGGUGGGCUGAACUCAAUUGAAAUAUACAAGGCAUAAGCGAUUUGACCACUUAUCUACUGUCUAUUAUACAAAAAAAAUACUUCAUAGCAAUAAAGUGCAUUUGGCACAUAUUACAUUAACGCAAAAUGUACUACCCGUAAAAGUGAACAGUCGCAGUUGGCAUUCACUCUUGCAUGCCACCUUCCCAUUCUUAUCGAUCAGAGAAAGAAAGACAACUCCGGUGAAGGGGUAAAGGGAAACAUCCUUUCACCAAAACAUUCAAACAGAGAUGGCAACAAACGCGCGGCAUCCAAAUCUUCCUUCCAGGCCUGAUCAAGCGUAGCCGGCGUUCUUUGACCUUGCACACCAGUCAUCUCCCUUCUGCUGCUGCUUCUCGGCAUAUUCUCGUUGUGCAAACCUUGUGGUGCUGAUGAUAGACCAGUUUCCGUGACCCCCAAGGCUGCAGCGUAUCGACCAGCUGGUCCUUGCGUGCUUACUGGCAAAGAAUUUGUUGUCAUUGAACCUGUUGAACCAUCUGUCAUUAAUUUCUUGGGUGGAGGCUGCGCCAUCAUGUUAUCCAGGCUUGCUUUGCGUUUGUCUAGACAAUUGUUUUUUUUUUUGGUUAGUGUUUGCCGAGACAAAAUCAAGAAGAGACAAUGAUAGAAGUGCAUAAAUAUUCAAAGAUGAAGAGAGAAAACAUUGCAGGAGACAUUAAAGUUAAAGCACUUGGACAAAGAAGACAUCCACAAAAGAGGAUUUCCAACUUUGAUUUCAAAUGACCGACCAGACAGAACUAGCAGGCCAGGUCGUAGGGACUUCAGAGAUAACGAGUUAAAUCACUUCAGGAGUCUUAAUUACUUCAACAUAUACGACGGAUUCUUGAAUUCCUAAUAGAUCAGCAUCCACAUUAUUCUGCAAGGGGAUGGCUCAGUUAUAACCCAGAAAGAAAAUGAGAAUAAUUGAACAAACCUGUCAUACCGAUCAUAUCAAUCUUGGAACUAUUUCAAUAUUGACACUCCAAGAGGUAGGACAUAUUUAACAGACAGAAGGCAAAAGAACUAAAAUUUGUAGUCAAUAGAUUCGUAGUUAUAGAUUCCUCUUUGGGAAUUAAUGGAAUAAGUAAAACAAAGAGCUAAACAUACUCGACAAUGUAGUUGAGACUUUCCAUUUACUCUUCAGGAGUGUGCGAGUAGAUGGAGAUACUGAUGCAGGAAGCAACUUGAAGCGCUCAUACAUGCAUAAACCAGCAGCACACUGUGCACAUAAUUAGAAGAGUUAAUUGCAGUAAUGCCAAACUAUCUAAAAAUAAAAGUUAGAAAAGACAUAUUUAGCUAUGUUCAUUUUCACAUAGAAAUAAUUGGAAAAAACAAUGAGGUAAGACUCAUUAACCAUUCAAGACAACUAACCAUCAAGGCUCCAUAUACUCGCCAAGCUUCAAGCCUCUUCAUUUCAUUUUUUUGCUUCUCAAGCUGCAUUUCUGGCUCCAGCAAUUGUAAAUAAGCCUCAAGAUUUGGCAACACAAGUAGGCGAACCUACAAAAUUAGAAUAUAUUACCAAUUGCUUACACGUCAAAAUUUUAGAAGGAAAGAAAGUACAGAGAGAACAAGGAGAUACCACACCAGGUCCAAGAGCUGCUAGCCCUUGAAUUGCUCCAUAAUGUUGAGGCAGCGCCUUAGUUGGAUCCAGAAAAGCAUGCAGCAAAGUCCUGGUGACACGUGGCUGGAGAUUGUGGUACAUAUGACCAUGUCUGCACAGCUUUCACUUGUGAACAAUAUAGCACCAGUUGAUAAAUAUGGAAAGAUUACCAAUACCACGGAACUGAAAGAUUAGCUACUGUCUAUAAAGCACGAAACAGAAAUAUAGUGUUGCAAUUGCCAGCAACUAUACAGAUACAUGCACUAGCAGCCAUUAACAACUCCCUUCUCAUGGGAGCGGCAAAAAGUAAAAGGGAAAACAAACUCCAAGCCCAACACAUAAUGGGCGAAUUCAGUUAGAGAUAACAGCUUGAUUUUGAAAAGUCAAAUGGGAGAAUCAACAUCGAAGCAACAGCCAAGGACGCAGAUGUAUACUUUCUGUAGCUUCUAAAUGUGAGAACUUAGUGAUCCUUACCUCUUGCAUAUUAAAGCAACCAACUUUGCUGAGAAGUCCCUAAGUUCCCAAUGAUUGUCAGAAAUUCUGUUUCCCAACCUUUUUGCAACAAGGCAUGUCAAUAUAGAAGGCAUCAACUGGUGCAGCUGGAGAUGAAUUCGCCAAAAUAAAAAAUAACGAAUAAAAUUUGACACAAAAGAGAAAAUCAUCGGAUCAACCACGACAUAACUAGACACCCAACGAAUCAAAGCUGCAUCGUUAAGGCCAAAGCCUAGUUUUCCAUUAUGCAUACAACACUACAACCUAGUUUUCCAUUAUGUAUACAACACUACCCUGAUGAACAAAGUAAAUUAACAAAGCUUAUUCAAACUAAAGAAAUAAUAAUGCGCUCUUUUUAGAAUGAUUAAUUAGUGCAAUUAAACCCUAUCUCUUUCCUCAACGGGCAUGUACUUACCUUUUCUGCUGUCAUUUUAAAGCCAUUUUCAUAAACGUUAAAAUUUAACGAGUCCAAUCAUCAACACAAAAUUUCAAACAUUAUCCUAAACCUGCUUUCCAAGUAAGUUGUGGCAACCAAGAUAUCAGCAAUAGACUCACAUAUGGUUCCAUAUGUAUUUGUGUAUUUUGGAGAAGGCUCCAGACUAGCCGCAUCAAAGAGAAAAGGAGAGGAAAAUUGUUCAAUUUCCGAGCAACCUGACAUGUAACAAACUAUCAUUAGAUCAUUGUCCAUUACCCACUAAUGUUAUGAACUGGGCUUAAAUUGGCUAACAAUUACCUCAUCAGCAACAAAAUAUGUAAAAUAAGGAACUAAAGGAUGAAUCCCUGAGUCCGUUGCUAAGCUUGCUAGAGCUUCUUUAAAGAGAAGAGGAUUCGAUCUAUUCAAAGUAAGCUCUGUAAUUUUGUCAUAAUAGAGCUGCAAACAAAAUCACCAAGGCAUAAGAAUUGAAUCUUUUUGGAUGGUCAAAAAGGAUACAAACAUUUUGGUACAGUUAUACCUGGAGCUCACGGGAUAGAACAUGCUUAACAGGUACUUUAAUAUCAACAGGAACUCCAUCCUCCUUAUACUCGGUCUUUCUAUUAUCAGAGGGCAUAGCAAAGGCUGCGACAAAUUAAUAAGUUAGUCUGGCAUAUUGAAAUAGCAUUAGAUACAAAUUUUAACUAGUACUUAUACCUCAUUUCUUAGAAGUCACGGGGGAGAGAAAAAUCUUUCAAACCGGGAGGCAGAAUAGACAUAAGAAUCAGUAGGAAAAGAACAAUACGCAUGACAAACUUGUUUUCAUAUGACUAAAGUGAAACAAAUGUUAAAACAUCCAGACAAACUAACUGCAGCUAAGAUUGUUACAAAAUCCGGACCUUCAGGCGGAGGGUUUUCAGGAAUAGCAGGCUGUACUCCAUCUAUAGCUAACCAAUGGGCAACAACAGCAGUGUCUACCGGUGCUUUAGGCAAAGGAGUUUCGAUCACCUAAACCAGAAAACACAUCAACUUAUACUAUGAGCAUCACUUCAAUAAAUUCACAAACUAAGUUUGGUACUGAAACCUCCAGUAUCAAAGUUCUUUACAUCUUUGAAUUCUACAUCCUUCUCUUCAAUGUAGAACAAAUCCUUGUGUCCAGCCGCUCUUCUAAACCUUAACGGGUCUCCUGAAGCUAAACCAUAUAUUGGCUGCUCAAGGCAACAAAUACAUAAAAGAACAAUCAAUUAAACCACAAUGUCAGACUAGAUCGAUCAGCAAUAACCUAUAUAUUAAACAGAGNNNNNNNNNNNNNNNNNNNNNNNNNNNNNNNNNNNNNNNNNNNNNNNNNNNNNNNNNNNNNNNNNNNNNNNNNNNNNNNNNNNNNNNNNNNNNNNNNNNNNNNNNNNNNNNNNNNNNNNNNNNNNNNNNNNNNNNNNNNNNNNNNNNNNNNNNNNNNNNNNNNNNNNNNNNNNNNNNNNNNNNNNNNNNNNNNNNNNNNNNNNNNNNNNNNNNNNNNNNNNNNNNNNNNNNNNNNNNNNNNNNNNNNNNNNNNNNNNNNNNNNNNNNNNNNNNNNNNNNNNNNNNNNNNNNNNNNNNNNNNNNNNNNNNNNNNNNNNNNNNNNNNNNNNNNNNNNNNNNNNNNNNNNNNNNNNNNNNNNNNNNNNNNNNNNNNNNNNNNNNNNNNNNNNNNNNNNNNNNNNNNNNNNNNNNNNNNNNNNNNNNNNNNNNNNNNNNNNNNNNNNNNNNNNNNNNNNNNNNNNNNNNNNNNNNNNNNNNNNNNNNNNNNNNNNNNNNNNNNNNNNNNNNNNNNNNNNNNNNNNNNNNNNNNNNNNNNNNNNNNNNNNNNNNNNNNNNNNNNNNNNNNNNNNNNNNNNNNNNNNNNNNNNNNNNNNNNNNNAUCCACAUCAUCAGUCGAUAAGGUCGUUCUCCUCGAAUGACGCAUACAUUUAAUAGCUUCCUAAAUUAUCAAACAAAAUUUUAUGCAAAUUACAUGCUCCGUGACCUCAAACGUGAUCUCAAAGAGCUAACUAUCCAUAAUUUAGCUUUUUCCAAGUGUGUGUGUAUAGUGUGUAUAUACACACACACUGUGUGCUUGGGUGUGUGGAAACUUUUACAUGUGCGAUAACCUCAAAAGUCAAAAUUGCACCAUGCUUAUGCUCCAGAAGUAAUUUCGAAGAGCAAAUUAUCCAAAUUUUAGCUUUUUCCCAAUAGGAGUGUGUGUUUUGUGUGUUUAUAUACACGCUGUGUGUUUGUGUGUAAAUUGAGGUAAGCACCUGCAUAAUCUCUCGAAUACGGUAUUCGACAUCGGCGGCGAGAGCAGGCAAGACAUCUGGUGAUAAAUUGCUUACACCUAUACUUUGUGCUAUCACUUCUAUUGUCUCUUUCGGAACUGUGCUCAUUUUCUUCUUGCUCCGUUACUGUUAGGUCAAAUACAGCUACAAACUCAGAUGUUCGCCGAUCUCAGUCAAUUUUCUGAUGCAGCGGAGGACGCCGGCGGACGACGGUGGUUGUUGGAGCGGAGGUGGAAAGGAGAGAGAUUAAAUCGAAACGGAGGGUAGAGAGAGAAAAAUUGUAAAAGAGUAAAAAGUAAAGUGAUCACCGGUCAGUCUCUGGGUGGACAGUGACCCAACGGGUCGUUGCAUAAUGAUGGGCUGACCCGAUUUAGCCGAACCCGCAUCAGCCCAAAGAAUGCAAUGAACUAGAGACUCGCCACCUUUCUCAUAUGGAAAUUACCAGUUAUGUCCAUUUAUAGGUAGUUCAUUACAAAAAUUGGCCAAUUGAUAAAAUAUUACUAAUAUUAGCCAAUUAGCUAUUUGUAACAAAAAAAUAUCAAAUUUUUGCUUUGUUUUGAGUGGGUAUUAUUAGAAUAGAUUGGGCACAACUUAAGGAGCUUGAAUCUCNNNAACUNNNNNNNNNGUAUCACAUGUAUAUCCAUGUAUACUUGUGUGUGAGAUACAUGCGUGAUAUAUGUCGCAAAAGACUUUUUUGAACUCGAUUUAAUUACGAAUUUUGAUACAAAACCAGUCCAAAUCACCUCCAAUCUUCCUCAAAUUUUGUAUCAAAGUUCUCCAAUCUUCCUCAAAUUUUGUAUAUUGACUUAUCUAUAUAUCUUCAAUGAAUUUCAACUAUAUCCAUUGAAAAAGUUCCUUUUUUGUUUAGAUUUUUGGAAUAUUGUAUAUGUUUUUUGUAUUUCAUCACCUUAUUUGCUACCUCAUCCAUAAAAUUUCCUUUCCGUCUUGUAUCUAGUGUUGCUAAUCACACUUAAAAAUAUGGAAGGUGAUUUUAGCAUGUGAUUCUUUGAGAGAAAGAACCUUAUUAUUUGGUUUUUCAAUUUCUGUUGGCAAGUUUUGGUAAGUCUAUGAUUAAUGACUAGAGGUUGGUAAGUUGAGAUCUAUUUGAGACAUUUGUGUAAGUUUCCCUUCUUAUAUUUGUAAAAAUAGCACGGUCUAGCCAAAAAAAUAACCAGCAUUUGCAAAGUCAUUAAAAAAUAGUCAUUAUUUUGCUAAAACACGAAAAAUUCUAGCAUAAUAUGUUGGAUUAUGAAGCUCCUGCGUAUAAACUUCUAGCAUAUUAUAUUGGAACUCCAGUACACGGAAAGUUUCAGAUAAUAUUAGAGAUUAUGGAACUCCUGCAUAUAAACUUCCAGCAUAUUAUGAUGGAACUCCAACAUAUUAUAAAAUUUCAGCAUAUUAUGCUGGAAGCUUAUAUGUAAAAAAUUCGAAGUACAUCGUAUUAUACUAAAAUAUUUUCAGAUUUUUAAGAGUGUUUUUGUUCAAAUUUUAUCUUUAUAUGAAAAGUGGCUAAAAUUCGAUUACUUUUGAAACUGUAAUUAUUUUUCAAUUAUCAGUUGUAUGGAUAUUUCUAAUUCACCCCCCCCCCCAAAUAUUUCUCUCUUUUGAAAUUUUAAAAAAAAAAGUUAGUAGCAUUUAACAUCCAAUCGAAAUAAAUUUCCAAUAAACCACUAAAAUUCAGGAUGACUAUAAAAUUAUGGGUUUUUGGUCAUUGAAAUACCUCCAUUGGAAUGAUAUUCUUUUGGCUUUCUAUAUAUUACUCUUGUUAAAAUUUCCAAAAAUCGUCUGUUUGUCAUGAACGCAACUGAAUUAGGAAAGGAGAGUGAAAAUAUCUAGAAGAAAUGGAAAAGAGGCGUGUAUAUUAGGGUUAACUGGAGUAAGUCACAUGAGCUACACAUGACUACUAGUAGAAACAGUGUCGUUGCAUUCAAUAAAAGGAACGGUCGAGAUUUAAAGCCAUAGUUACAAUCCAAGGGCUGAGAUUAGAUUUCAACAUAUUAAAUAAAUCGUUGAAGGAAUCCCAAAGGCAGUUAUGAUUAUGGUAAAUUCCUAACUACCUCUCUCAUUCUCUCUUCUCACUUCUCAAUUCUCUCUCUCUCCCUUGCCUUCCUCACUCGUCUUCUUCCUUCUCUAAUUUCAGGUAAAUCGCCAUCGCAGCAGCUGAUUAGAGAUCUUAGUUUAGCUACCAUAUUACAUUCUUCUGUACAAUUGAGUGUAAUUUGGAUUCUUCAUAUCAAUAAUACACAUAUUUGCUGCCUCUAUAAUUUCCUAUUCUAAUAUAUUACACUGUUCUUAAUAUAAUUGAGGAAUCAAAUUUUCAUCUUCAAGACUUCAUAGAUAAUGAUCUAUUAUUUUAUUUUCUUCACUUAAAUAUCAUAUUUAAUUUCUCAAUAUUAAUGUUUAAGGGGUCGUUUAGCGGCUUGGAAGGGGCCUGAUUCUAAUUCUUAUCUAGUCCCUCAAAAGGGCCUUAAGGGGCCAAUUCAGGGACUUGGGAGAAGGGACUAUCCGUCGCACGAUCUCUUAAUAAUGGGACGGUCCUUAUGAGUGCACAUUUAUCCUGUAAUGAUUUGUGGAGGUUAAGUCUAUGAGAAUUUCCUUUAGCUUAUUCUCGAAAAUAUUCGUGAUAAUCUAGAUAACACAAGGUCGUAAAUAUGCUGGCUAAUAAAGCACAUGUCAACAUCUUAAUUAUUAAUUAUAAAUAGUGAUACUUUAUUUUUGUUAAGUAAGCUAAAUUCUCAUAGACUUAACCUCCACAAAUCAUUACAAAUAUGCUGGCAUUUAUUUCUUUCAUCCACUUACCCAUUAUUUAUUUCACUACUUACCGAUUAAACUAUCCACCACACAUUAACACAUGUUUAUUAUUCCCUCCGGUCCACUUUAGUUGUUUUAUUUUUUUUGAUUGUUUUCAAACAUAUUAAGAGAUUCAUCUUUUAGCAUUAAUUAAUAAUGAAAUUGAUCAUUGUGUUCGUUUAAAAUAUAACAAAUACUCCUAAGCUCUUUACUCCAAAGACAACUUUGAAAAAAAAAGUUAAUUUCAAGUGCACCCAUUUAAAGUAGACCAGAGGGAGUAAAAGGAAAUAGUACACAAUCUUUUUUCCAUACGCAAACAAGUGUAUAACUAAUAGGGAGGAGCUCCAAUCUUAUUUCUGAACACACAAAAGUAACGUACAUUAUUUUUCGGCCUACAGAAAAUGCAACAAUAACAUAAACUCUGCUAGAAGUACAAUGACAUUCACAAAGUAAAGUGGUUGAUUUGAAAGUUUGAAAAGUUCGAUAGUCUCGAGAAGGUAUUAACCACCGGUGAUCAUAUAUUCGUAAAACCACUAUUAUUGGACAGUGGUUUCUCUCUUUUUUCUUGAACUUCGAACAAUAAAUCGACCUCGCCAUCAGCUCGAGCCACUAGAAGAGUGAGAUUAUUUAUUUGCCGGUAUAUAAGAGAAAGUCCUUGUACCAAUAAGCAGAUUUCUUAUGGUAUCGCUCGAGUGUUUUGUAAUCAACAAAAGUGAGGCCAAAUCGGACAGUAAAACCAGCAUCCCAUUCAUAGUCAUCUAAGAAUGACCAAACAAAAUGUCCUUUUACAUUUGCUCCAUCCCUGUAAAUUAUACAACUUACUUAGAUUAAUUUUUAUAAGAACAACUCAGUACACUAAGCAUUUCGCAUUCACGUAAGAGUUCGAGAAAGGGCAAUAUCCCAAAGGGUAUGAUUAGUGCGGAGGCAGGAUUUUCGCUAAGAGGUUUCAAAAAAGAAAAAAUUUAAAAAAUUAAAAGAAAUUGUGGCUAGUGGAAAUUGAACCAGCAACCUAACAAAUAUUUUGAACCCCCUUGACCAUUGAACUAUGCUUUUGGGUUGUGUCAAGUGGAUUCAAAAUAUAAUAUAUAGAGGUACAAACUAGAUUUUGCCUUAUAUGUAUAAUGUAAUAUUCCGGUGAAGGGGGUUCGGGUGAAUCCCCUUCCCCGCUCUCCUAAAUCUGCACUGGGUAUGAUGCAAAAACCCUGUCCUAAUACAAGUAUUUAGGGAUGCUUCCACUGUUCCCUUUCAAUUAUAGGUCACAGUGAGACAACUUUACCGUUGCUCUAAGGUUCCCCUUCAAUUGGAUUAACUUUUAUAAUUCCAAAAAAAUAAAUCAGGAAUUUUCUUUAAAAAAAAUUCUAUAGAAAAGAAUAUAGAAGAGAAAAAGAAAACUUACUUUAUAGCUUUUGAUAGAAACCAUAGAUGGCCCUCGUAAUACUUUAUCCUCAUAUCGUCAUUAAGAGAUUCUUUAAGUGACAGUGCUUCAUUAUUGGCUUCUGCCAUUCCUGCAAGUUAAUUAAUUUCAAAGUUUUUAAUGUCUCAUAUCGUAACUUUGACUCCUAACUUUUUUAACUGAGGUUGUAAAUAUUUUUGAUCGAGCGGGCAAAUAUAAUAAAAAUCUUUAAGAUUUUACCAUUUUCAGUGAUGUAGAUGGGAGGAUUGUUGUAUUUAUUCUUGAUGUGAAGCAUGAGACCAUAGAUUCCUCUUGGAUAAAUGAAAAGCCA
rnacentral:lncRNA from 1 species